GUGCACAUUGCUUGUAGUCAACACACCGAUAUACCAAUCAUCAAGUUUUAAUUUUUCACAGCUUGUAGUCAACACACCGAUUCAAAUAACAGCCAAACUCAGUUUAUUACAAUAUUCCACACAAUCACAAUAUACACCAUACAUUAUUUCACCAAUCACAAUAUAGCACUCUAUAUCAGGGGCCAGCCAAGCCUACUACCAUGCAUGAGGCCACAACCAGCCCAAUAGCAUCAGCACCGUUGGAGCCCUGACCAACGUCCAAGCUUUAUCAAGCUCCCUGCAAAUUGCAUUUAGUGGCAAAGCAUCAAUAGAUGAAGUUGGAAAAUGAAUAUCUUAGGGGAAGCUACACUUGGCAUAUACACUGGUAGAGUUGGGUUUAAGUAACCAAGUCAUGUUUAAAAGAGUUAACUGAAGGAGUACAAUUAGCGUGUAACCUGGAAAACAUAUAGCUAGAGGCCUAGAGUAUCAACAGCAGCAAUACAUCUAGAGGCCUAGAGCAUUAGAGCAUCAACAGCAGCAGUAUAGCUAAAGGCCUAGAGCAUCAACAGCAGUAGUACAGCUAGAGGCCUAGCGCUUUUCUUCCCGCACAUGACCAAGGCUAGGCGCUGAGCCAACGCCUCUUGCUUCAGCGUGCAUAAUCGGCCUAUUAAGCGCGCCUUCUUGUACUUUGGCGACACAUGCUUGCAUAAACUCAUGGAAGGAAGGUGACAGCAUUUCAGAGUAAUCCAAUUCAAAAUCAGAAGGUGUGCUUUAUACUCAAUAUUAACAGGGAUGCGUGUACCUCUAUGCUUUGGCAUCUCAGUCGGAGGGGGCAAAAAACUGGCCAGCAAAGUGAAGCCAUCUCUUGUUGCUUCAUGCAAAGCUACAGCCAGCCAGGAAACAGCAGCACCAAGUUUCAUGUGAUGGCGCGGUGGAACCAGCAAAAUAUAUUGUCCUGCAGAGGCAUUCUUAUCACCAUACAAUUAUCACAACUAGUAAUUGCAAGAACAAGAAAGCUUAAACAAAGGUUAAACCUCGGUAACAACAGCAGCAGGUCAAUAACAACAGUAUCAGGUCCUGGGAGUGCUUUAAUUUAGUCCAUUUUUUAUCAACAACUUAUCCUAAGGACGACAUGCUAUCAAACUUUGGAAAAUACAGUAUGAAUAUGACAGCAAUAGCAGCAAGUCCUACACUAAAAUAAGCAAUCAUGAUUUCUAACAAUAGAAAUCAUCAGCAGCAAGUCCUAACUUAAUAGCAGCAAUGAGAAGAGAAGAGAGGAAAAUAGAAGAAAAGAGAUGAGAAGUUUCUGUUAAUGAAAAAAAUUACUUAUCUUUUCAAAUGAAUCAAAUGAGUAGCUCUACAGUGGAGCUCCACCACAUCCUCCUGGGUGUAGGAUCUCGUAGACAGCAUAGGCACCACCAGUACCUUCAGAUUUGGCAAACAAAAUGGGAAAUCAAGCCACUAGUUUGCACAAAGAACAAUAACCGAAAGCAUAGAAGUAAAGCCGCAACACCUCAUCGGUGACACUCCCGUCUCCGUCCAGCGCGAACCCAUACUCCACGAAGUGGCUUCGGGGCCUCCAGGGUGCCGGCUACCACCUAGCCGGCCGGAACACACGGUCGACGAUGGUGACGGUGUUGGCGCUGGACAGUGUCGUCGUUGUCCCAUGAGCCAGUCGUCAUUGGCAGUAUCGCCGUGUUCGCCAGCUCAGGGCGCCGGCUUGGACCACAGGAAGAGGUCGGCAACUUCAAGCAUAACACAUAAGCACAGCACAUCAGAAGCCCAGAUGAACAAGCAAUCUAUCUAUCUAGAAAAGAAACAAAGCAUCUCAGGGUUUAAGCUGGUACUAGGAUGCAACACUAGUUUCGGCUGCUUCCUCUACAAACUUAGCAGAAUCGCAUAAGUGGAGUAAACCAGGUUGAAUGUUGAGCAGCACAUAUACUAGGUGAGGUACAAACUGAAUACUGGACAUUCUUCAAAGCAAGACCUUGUAAAAAAAUAAGGAAAACAUGAGUAACCAGCAUGCUGGUUGGUUGCUGGCCAAGUCACUAGCUCAAACGAUAUUAACAAAUCAACAGAUUACAGGAACCUUAUCAUCAUCCUCUCUCGAGCAGCCAGUCCCCAUGAUGACACGCCUCAGCCGGACGGACGGACAAUGUACUGUGCUACACUGGGAGGUCAAAUAUUUCCAGCUCUAAUUACAAAACUACUAACUACUAAGUACUAGUUCAAGUUCCGGUUCAGUUCCCAGCUCUCGAACUGCUAGGUUCAGCCGGACUGGGAGUAUCAAUGUUAAUCAACCAAUCAACAGCGCGUGCUAAAAGAUAGUACAAGACGGAUGAUUUAUAGCAACCAUUAAAUAAGUAAGACUAGCAAACUUUUUCAGAAACCAUAAAUUAAUAAGCAAGGCUAGUGACUUGGUUGUUUCCUUGGUAGAAACCGUUAAUAUAUAAGACUCUACUUACAUAAUCUGUGUACAGAAAACAAUACAAGCCUAAAUUAUUUUUAAGAUUGCAAAUAAGGGGCAGCAUAUCAUGAUUCAUGGAAGGCAUGGUAAGUAUUUAAAUAGAGAGGCUCUAGAUUAUAUUAUACUUAGUUCAGGUGUAAGGUGUUGCUGAAGGGUUGACGUAGAUGCUUACGAGCAGCUGGACAUGUCAAACAACUAGGUGCAGGUGCAGGAGAAAACGAAUAAUACUGUGCAAAUCAAGGCCACAUAAAUGAACAAUAGACUCUGUAUGGUGCAGGCUUCAUGGCGCUAGCAUCCAUCUGAACAAUGGCUAACAAUAGCAUAUACCUCAAACCCCCGCGCAUUUCAGUUCCCCGGCUAGAUUCAUUCAGCCAUUCCGCUAGCGAAUUCACCCAAAAGAGGCGCGCGCAGCCGCACUGGCCACAACGGCCGCCGGAAUGGAUCCACCGCCCAAUAGAGGAGACGAAGCGAGCAGUCAAACCCGCCGCUCCGCUUGAUCCAAGGAUCCACAACCACAAACGCAAGGCGACGCAGAACCACAAUAGCGAGCAGUCAAUAAUGCGAGCCCUGCAUGGCCCGAGAGCGCACGGUCGGCGGCAACGGGGCGAGGAAGAAGGAGAACAGACGCACCUGGGAUGGAUCUUCUACGGAAGUCGAUGUGGACGAUGAGGACGAUGCUGCAGUUGAAGUUGUGGUGGACGACGGCUGGGGAGACGCAGCCGCCCUCGAGUGCCUCCGUCGCCUACGGCGGGGUAGAUCUGGAACCACCGCGGCGGAUCUGGCCGCCGCCUCACCUGUUGCUCCAUCCGGGCGAGAAGGCGAGGGGACGAGGCGGGGGAGGGGAAGAGGGUGGCGGAGGGCGAAGGGCAGAGCACGGCGGCAAGGUCACCGGCGGGGGCUGGUUUACGCCGGGGGAGGGAGCCGGGAGAGAGGCGGCUGGUUUGGGUUUGGGUUUGGGCCUAGCGACGGGAGACAGUUGCGGAUGGCGCUGGAGGAUGCGUGCACCCCGCCCAUGCUGCCGGCGAGCCACUGGUCCAGCUGGUGGUGCUGCUGCAUGAUGGCGGCGCCCUGGACCGGAUCUAGAGCUCGGUCGCCAUGGCGCUUGGGAGGCAUGGGGAUUCGGGCUCCUCGCCGUCGACGGCCAUGGUGUGGGGGCGGCGGCGGCAGCUAGGGUUUGGCGAGCGGGUGCGGGUGCGGGAGAGUGGGGGCAUGGGGGCUAGGGUUGGAACGGUGGGGGGUGGGGGCUGCGUGGGUGAUGGGGGUGAGAGGGCUACGUGGGUGAGAGGGUGAGGGGAUGAGGUCCGCCGUUGGAUCCCGGAGCAUCCGACGGUGUCUGAUGCAUGAUCUGCGUGAUAUGCCUAUAGACCAAUCAGAACGCAACAAACAAUUUGAAGACUUUAUGACCUUUUAAAUAGGUCACGAAAAAAUCAUUUUCCAUUUUUAGUGCUCAAAAUGAGUUUUUUUUUUGUAAAAGACCUACCAAAUAUUUGUUCAAAUGAUAUUCUUUAUAUUCUUUAUAUUUGUUCAAAAUGAGUUCUUUAUACUCUGCAAAAGUUUACAUCUUGGAAUAUUAAACAGUAUCGACAAAGGGAUUUUUUAUAUUCUUUGCACAAAAAAUCAUUUUCCAUUUUUUGAGUGCCCCAAAUGAGGUUUUUUUGUGAAGGACCUACCAAAUAAUUGUUGCAAAAUUGGACCAAAUCAUUUUUAUAAAAUACGAGGCCAUAUUUAAUGCACAAUUGACCAAAUGGUUGGGUGAAAAAAGUUUUGAUCCACCUCUCCUGAAAAAGACAAAUUUCCACCGAUUCAGGUGGAAGCGGGUCAAAUUUGAACUGUAGCUACCUCGUAGUUUGCUCUCUAUUUUUCCAAAAAUCAUUUCUAGGUACAUAAGUAACUAUUUAAUCAGAGAAACACCAAAAAAUUCCAAGAUUCAACAACUAGCUAGGAACGGUCAAGCGCGUCGUUUUGACCGCAUUUUGAAACGGGCAUAAAAAAUUCAAAAACAAAUCAAAAAAUUGGAAAACCUUCGCAUUGUGGCAUUAUAUGUUACCAAGUUUCCAGGAAAAAUAAUAAACUUUUAAUACGGUAAUUAUUUUAAAAAAGUGUUCUCAGAAAUGAGCUAUCAUGCGUGAAGAUUCAUGGCUUUCAAGCCAAAUGAUCAAUCUUAUGGCCACAUUCAUGGCAUAGUUUGUUCAAAUGCUCUCAUAAUGAGCACAAGGGUGCAUCUUGGAAUUCCAAACAAUGUAGCCUAAGGAAGUUUUCAUUUUAUUUGCACUGAAAAUUCAUUUUCCAUUUUCCGAGUGCCCAAAAGGAGGGUUUUUUGUGAAGGAACUACCAAAUAAUUGUUGCAAAAAUGGACCAAAUCAAUUUUAUAAAAUACUAGGCCAUGUUUAAUGCACAAUUGACCAAAUGGUUGGGUGUCAAAUUUUUUGAUCCACCUCUCGUGAAAAAGACAAAUUGUCGUUGAUUCAGCUGGAAGUGGGUCAAAUUCGAACUGUAGCUACCACGUAGUUUUCUCUAUUUUUUCCAAAAAUCAUUUAUAGGUACAUAAGUAUCUAUUUAAUCAGAGAAACACCAAAAAAAUUCCAAGAUUUAACCACUAGCUAGGAACUGUCAAGCCCGCCGUUUUGACCGCAUUUUGAAACGGGCAUAAAAAAUUCAAAAAAAAUGAAAAAAUUGGAAAACCUUCGCAUUGUGUCAUUAUAUGUGACCAAGUUUCCAGGAAAAUAAUGAACUUGUAAUACGGUAAUUAUUUUAAAAAAGUGUUCUCAGAAAUGAGCUAUCAUGCGUGAAGAUUCGUGGCUUUCAAGCCAAAUGAUCAAUCUUAUGGCCACAUUCAUAGCAUAGUUUGUUCAAAUGAUCUCAUAUUGUGCACAAGGGUGCAUCUUGGAAUGACAAACAAUGUUGCCUAAGGAACUUUUCAUUUUCUUUGGACGAAAAAUUCAUUUUCCAUUUUUUCGAGUGCCCAAAAUGAGUUAUUUUGUGAAGGACCUACCAUAUAUUUCUUGCAAAAUUGGACCUAAUCAAUUUUCUAAAAUACUAGGCCAUAUAUAAUUCACAAUUGUCAAAAUGGUUGGGUGUCAAAAGUUUUGAUCCACCUUUGGUGAAAAAGACAAAUUCUCGUUGAUUUAGUUGGAAGCGGGUCAAAUUUUAACUGCAGGUGCCUCAUAGUUUCCUCUUUAUUUUUUCCAAAAAUCGUUUCUAGGUGAAUAAGUAUCUGUUUAAUCAGAAAUACAUGGUUUGAUGGCGAGACAUCGAGGUUUGGAUGGUGGCCGAGGGCCCCAACUCUAGAGUGCAUACGCUCGCAUGCCGCCGCGUGGUCACCGCGUGAUCGUGGCGUUGCCAUGCGUUCUGGUCGGCCUAGGCAUGUCUAGUGGGUUUGGAACUCCCCAGGUAGGUGCUAGGAAGAAAAUUAUAACAUAAGAUUCUCAUGAGGAGACCGAACUAUGCUCAAACAUGAAUUAGCAGCCAAGUGUUUGAUUAGCGGUACAGGGAAUGCAGAUGGCCAAUGGGCGUGAGUUUUGGCUGAGGAUGAUCAUAUACUAUAAAGAAAGUCUUCAUAAAUUUUUAGGGAAAUCAAGAAUAUAUAAAUAACACUUCCUUCACAAAGUGCUGCUCUGAACAGAAUAGGAAAAUGAAUAUUGUUGAGUUAUUUUUGAACUUGGCAAGGAAGGUUUUUGACAUAUCUGAUGAAGAUAUGAUCCACACAAUUUAUGCGAUUUUUUUGGGAAUUUUUGGAAUAAUAGAAAUAUAGGUUGCUUCACAACCUAGGGCAAAAAUUGACACAUGGACAUGACACAUAGGCAAAACUGAUGAGAUGGCGCCUAGUCAUCACAACCCACCACAAUCUAUAAGGCUAUGACCAUCUAUAUUGGUCGUUAACAACUAGAAAUAAGGCAGCGGACCUGCACUAUUUGCUUUGUGACCAUUUCGUGUAAGGAAAUUACGACCUUUCUGACCAAAAUGGUCACAAUGGUUUAGGGUUUGGAGCCCCCCGAACAGCUUUUGACCAAUUAGUCUCAAAUGGUCAUAGAUCUAUGAUCAAUUCUUCCAGGUUCACUAACAGAAGGUCACUAGUUGACAUAUUUCUUGUAGUGAAGUUUCGGANNNNNNNNNNUUACGACCUUUCUGACCAAAAUGGUCACAAUGGUUUAGGGUUUGGAGCCCCCCGAACAGCUUUUGAUCAAUUAGUCUCAAAUGGUCAUAGAUCUAUGAUCAAUUCUUCCAGGUUCACUAACAGAAGGUCACUAGUUGACAUAUUUCUUGUAGUGAAGUUUCGGAUAAAACCGGAGUACCGGGGGGGGGGGGGUUAUCGGAACCCCCCGGGGGAUUAUUGGGCCUCAUGGGCCAAGUGGAGGAAGAGAGAAGGCAGGCCAAGGUGGGGCGCCCCCCUAGCCCAAACCAAAUUGUACUAGGGGGGCGCCCCCCCUUUCCUUCUCUCCUUCCCCUCCUUCCUUCCCCGCCUAGUUGGACUAGGAAAGGGGGAACNNNNNNNNNNGGGGUUAUCGGAACCCCCCGGGGGAUUAUUGGGCCUCAUGGGCCAAGUGGAGGAAGAGAGAAGGCAGGCCAAGGUGGGGCGCCCCCCUAGCCCAAACCAAAUUGUACUAGGGGGGCGCCCCCCCUUUCCUUCUCUCCUUCCCCUCCUUCCUUCCCCGCCUAGCUGGACUAGGAAAGGGGGAACCUACUCCUACUAGGAGUAGGAUUCCCCCCGUUAGGGCGCACCCCUUGAGGCCGGCCGGCCCCCUCCUCCACUCCUUUAUAUACAGGGGAGGGGGGCACCCCAUAGACACACAAGUUGAUCAAGUUGAUCUUUUAGCCGUGUGCGGUGCCUCCCUCCACAGAUUUACACCUCGGUCAUAUCGUCGUAGUGCUUAGGCGAAGCCCUGCGCCGGUAGCUUCAUCAACACCGUCACCACGCCAUCGUGCUGACGGAACUUUCCCUUGGCCUCAACUAGAUCUAGAGUUCGAGGGAUGUCACCGAGCUAAACGUGUGCAGAUCGCGGAGGUGACGUGUGUUCGGUACAUGAUUGGUUGGAUCGCGAAGACGUUCGACUACAGCAACCGCGUUACAUAACGCUUCCGCUUUCGGUCUACGAGGGUACAUGGACACACUCUCCCCCUGUUGCUAUGCAUCACCUAGAUAGAUCUUUAGUUGUUGUUGAUUUACCGUGUCUGGUAAACAAGCAAUGCCACCAUUAAAGUAAUCCCAUAUUUGAGGAAUCUCAUUGUUGAUCGUAAUGCAUCUGGUAACAUGAAGCAUUGCUGACGUAAAAUUUCUACUGUCCUUGCGUGAUUGCCAUGAACGUAAUUAAGAUGCUUAUUUUCAUUUUGUAUAUGUUUCGUAUAUUCUUAUUGACCAGCAACUGUUUACUUUCUAUCUUUUUGUGCAGAUAGGGAUAUCCAUUUCACCUUGUUGCUAUUGUGACCAUUUGGUGAACUACACAAAACACUUCUUUUGGAAUGAGUGUCUUGUGCAGUUCAACUAAAAUGUCACGUGGGCAACAUCUCUCAAUUUUGGUGGAACUGCACAAAAUGGUGAUUGGAGUUUCCAAAAUCUCCUUCAAGUUCUGCCGGUAAUCUCGUGCAACAUUUUAUUAGCCUUUCCAAGAUGGAGCCGUCACUGUCACCACAAUGGCACUUUAUUUAAGUGGAACUGCACAAAAGGAUAAGAAAAUUAUAGUUGCACCUUACAUGAGCCGGACAGCCAACCUUAAUGUUCCUCAAUUUUAGUGCAACUACUAAAGAAGAACCUGCCAGCUCACAAGAGAAAGUACUUCCUUCUAGCUGAAUGAUGCAAUCUUUGCUUCAUUUCAGGUGAACUGCAGAAAAAGGCGCAUGAAUUGAAUCAUGGAACUCCAGGCAGACCUCAUCCAAGUAGAGCUGGAGGUUGAGUUCAAGGAGGCCGCUAUUAAAGCGAAAUCAUGCUCUCAUGUCCCGUUGUUUGUGCUGUUCAAACAUGUUGUGCAAACAGGAAUACUCAACUACAGAUGUUGUGACGGUCAAGAGCAUUCACCAAGUUCUUCGAUUGUAUGACAUGGCUAGCCAAGAUGGAUUUAAUCCCGAUAUUCACUUUAUCAAAAGGCUCUAAUGGGUUGGUUCUGAAUCUUGCAAGCUGGGAAUCAGUGAGAUGUUUAGGCAUCUUUGUUGUACUUAUUAUUUGAAUCGUAUUUGUUGGUUCUGAAUCUUGCAAGCUGGGAAUCAAUGAGAUGUGUAGGCAUAUUUGUUGUACUUAUUAUUUGGAUCUUAUUUGUUGGUUCUGAAUCUUGCAAGCUGGGAAUCAAUGAGAUGUGUAGGAAUCUUUGUUGUAGUAAUUAUUUGGAUCUUAUUUGUUGGUUUUGAAUCUUGCAAGCUAGGAAACACGGCAUGAUGAUGCAGAGGACAACAACCAUAACAAACAGUUCAAACUUGGUAGUAUUAUGUUUGUGAAAGUGCGACAAAUGUGAUGAUCGUGUGCGUCCUGAGCAUAAUAAUUCUAAUUGUUGUGCCUGUUGAUCAUGUGGCUGACUUGUUUUAAGUAUAAUUUCUAUUAAAGCUAAUUAAAUUUCUUGUUUUAAGUAUAAAUUUCUAUUAAAGCUAAUUAAAUUUAAGUAAAGUGACCACUAACUCAUGUUAUUACAGUACCAAUACAGACCCGCUCGUGAACCGACGUGUGGCCGGAGUAGGUUUCUUAACGGAGGCGUUUCAAUGCGCCGAGGGUGCAUCUUCUGCCAGGCGUGCAGCGGACGAGGGAGGGGAAGUAACUGUUGUCGCCUGUACACACUCAGCUUACUGUUGAAUCCAGUUCCCCAAGAGCUGAAAAACGAACUGCUGCCACAGCCUACAAACUUGUUCACUCGAAGAGACUCCAAUGGUGAUCCGAGGGGUGAGCCUGCUGGAUAUGGACUUCAGCAAGGAGUUCCCCUUUGAGUUCGCCGUUCAGUCCGAUGGCUGCAACAAGUUGAAUGUGAUGUACACCAACGAUGCGGACUCGGUGAAGCUCUGCCUCGCCUCAGUCCUAUGGUUGCACCAGGUUUUGGAGCAUUCGCCCAUUUCAUCGGCAGCGCCUACUGCACCUUUGCUACAGUUGAAAGAAGGAAGAACACGACGAUUCGGCCAUCUGGAGCAACAAGCUUGUCGACAUCCAGAAUAAAUAUAAGAUCAUCAGCAACGGGUAGGAGAAGGACUCCGUGGUUGACCUCGCUGAGACCAUCAUCGACCCCUGAUACGCCAACAUGAAAGAAGACGACUUGAACACGUGGGAGGUACCUCUGAAUCUAGCCUACAUAACCGACGCGGCCAAGGACGCAUACGCAUGCUACGACAUGUACAGGUAGAUCAUGGACAUGAGGGCGUGUCUGCUUCCCGUAAUCGACGAGUACACGGACAGCCGCAGCGUCAUGAUCAAGCGUGCCAGGAAGGUCUAGAUGUUGUACUUUAUCUGUUUAUAAUCACCUUUAUCAUCUGAGUGUUUCAUGCAUUAGCCUAUGUGUCGUAAUUAUCUGUUUUGUCCGAAAUAUUUCUUUUAAGAACCCAUUAACCUGAUUGCUUUUUUUAGUGACUAUUUGCUUAUGUAUGUAAACUAGUUCACUUGUCCGUAAAAAAAACUAGUUCACUCGGCUGCCGUGCUUUGAAUAUCCUUCCUCCCAACAUAUUCCCCUCUUCAGGUGGACCCAGCAGGUCUCUGAAUUUCUCCCACUUUCUUUUUCGAUGUAAACUGAGUUUUCUCCCAGUACUUUCCCCUAGAACCAACUCAAUUGUCCCACGUCUAGCCUAAAAAAUAAUAAUACCCCACGUACUAUUAACUCAUCAAAUUGAAAUGAUAUUUUAUUUCGUAAGUUGAAAGUUCUUACAAAAUAAUAAUAAUAAUAAUUGUUUAUAUAUAAGUUGGCAAGUUAACUCCUAGUGAUUGCGUACAUAAGCUUGAAAAGAUUUUACUGACGUGCAAUCAUGUGUUUAUGUUUUUAUAAAAUUUCUUCGUCUUGCCCAACAUGAUAUUUUCACCCAGCCCGGCAAGUCCGCAGAUUUUGAGAAAAAUGCAAAUGGGAUUUAAACGGGCUGCAUAGAUGCUACAUCAAUGUUUCACCCAGCCCACCAAAUGGACUGGCUGACAUGUGGGCCAGUAGGUCGAAGCGUAAGAAAGCGUUGGAUUUACAUCCAACGGCCGGCAUUCUUCUUCAAUCUCUGGUCUUCUUCCCCCAGCGCUGCCGGAACCGCCUGCUCCAGCCUUCGGCGUCCAGCGGCGUUGUUUUGCGCUCCUCCGUGAAAUGCUACCCCGCCAACGGCCAGGCCAUCCCUCCACUCCGCACCUCCUGUUAUUCUCUGCCGAGUGUAGGCCCACCCCGUACCCAAACCAGUCAAGUUUCCCACUCCUCUCCGUCUGCGACUCCACUGCCGCGUCUUCCCCAUCUCCGGGUCGUUCCAGUCUGGGGCCUCGCCGUCGUCCACCGCCUCGGUGCGCUCGGCGCGGCGUGGUCAACAUACAAGAGUCAUCGGAAGAGGACUGUACGUGGAGAGCCUGACGGCUGGGACCCACGAGGUCCAUGGUCGCACGCAAGGAAAGUUCCUCCUUAUUACGCACUGUACAUGCACUGUACGUGGGAAGGGCUUCUGUAUUUCAUGACAAAAACGUUCCCCCCGCUGACAGGUCGGACCCACCAGCUAUAUCUUCGCACGCAAGGCAGUGCCUCCUUAUUACGCACCAAAAAAUGAAUACCCCCUGCUAGCUGGGACCCACCAUAGUGGGUGGCUGACUUGUGGGCCUACUAAGUUGACGAGGAUGGAGGGCUUUUUCAAGUUAGUCAAUAUGAACGAUUCUAGCUCCAGUGACCGUACGAUGUCCAUCCAACGGCCAUAGUGCUUCUUCAACCUCUGGUCUUCUUGCUCCAGCCGCCCAAAGCAGCACUGGUCGUGCCGCAUGCUCCUACCUCUCGUGGCCGGCUAUGAUGCCGCGGAGGCCUCACCGCCCCCUACUACUCCCACCGAUGGCACAGGGUAUCCCUCUACUCACCCACACCCCCUGUUAUUUUGUGGCGAUGGCAGCCUCACGCCACAGCCGAAUCAGUGAACCCUGGUACUCCUCUCUGCGUGGGCAUCCACUGCCGCGUCUUCCCUGGCUCCGCGUUGUCCCCUUCCUAGGCCUCGCCGUCGUCCACUGCCUUGGUGCUCUCGGCGCGGCGUGGUCAAUGUGGUCAACGACCGACUUCCAUCGGAAGAGUACUGUACGUGGAGAGGCUGACAACUGGGUUCAUGGCCAUAGCCCAGUUUUUUUGUGAUUUGCCAAGUAAGUCGCUUUUGUCAGGCCUGUUGGGCUGCAAAUCUUUCAAGACAAGGAGAGCUUCAUUCGGCUGGCCGAGAAAAUGGCCUAUCAGUAAUGAGAAAUGGGAUGUACAUUUUUAAAACACAUCAAACCGGCAAUUAGUUUCAAAUAUCUGUUUUUAUUUCAAGAUUUUAAAUUACAUUAAUUUUUAUGCGUGGAGAAUUUGUUGGAUUUUAUAUUGAUAUACUUUUUUUUAAAAAUAAGUUUGAAUUGUUUAACCAUGGCCACAAUAUGGGCUGUAAUGCUAAUAAAAAGAAUAUGGGCUCCAAAAAAACCUUCAUAAUUAGCAAAUGGGCUAUAAAUUAUUAGAAAUAAUGGCACAUGGGUUUAUGCUGUUUUCCACAGAUUUGAGGCUUUCCUAAAAAAGGUUCACGCACAAGCAGUGACUGUUGGAUGUCCAUCAAACGGCGGGACUGCCUGCUCCCUCCUCCCCGCUGCCGUCUGUGCUGCUGCGCAGGCCACACCGCCCCACCGUACUCCCAUCGCUGGCCUAGCCAUCCCUCUACUCACCCACACCUGUUGUUAUUCUCCGGCGACGGCAGACGAACCAGUAAACCCUCAUAUAGUCGUACUCCCCUCCGCGUGGGAAACAACUACCGAGUCUUCCCUACCUCCGUGUCGUUCCCUUCCUAGGCCUCGCCGUCGUACACCACCCUGGUGCUCUCGGCGCGGCCUGGUCAACAUGGUCAACGACCGACAUGCAUCUGAAGUGGACUAUACGUGGAGAGGCCGACAGCUGGGUCCACGGCCGCACGCAAGGAAAUGCCUCCUUAUUACGCGCAAAAUAAUGAUUCCUCCACCUAACAUCAGGGACCCACCGGAAGGGCCUCUGUAUUUCGCGAAAAAAACAUGACCGCCGCUGAUAGCUCAGACCCACCAGCUAUAUCUUCACACGCAAGGAAGUGCCUCCUUAUUACACUAAAUAAUGAAUACUCCCCCUGUUAGCUGGGGCCCAGUAUAGUGGCAGGCCGACUUGGGGGCCACUAAGUUGACGGGGAUGGAGGGCUUUGUCAACUUAGUCAAUAUGCACGAUUCUAGCUCCAGUGACCGUAAGAUGUCCAUCUAACAGCCGUAGUGCUUCUUCAACCUCAGGUGUUCUUGCUCCAGCCGCCCAAACCAGCGCCAGUCGUGCCUCGUGCUCCUGCCUCCCGUGGCCAGCUACGAUGCGGCGGAGGCCUCACCACCCCCUACUACUCCCACCGCUGGCCAGGCCAUCCCUCUACUCACCCACACCCCCUGUUAUUCUGCGGCGACGGUAGCCUCACACCGCAGCGAACCAGUGAACCCUCGUACUUCUCUACGCGUUGGCAUCCACUGCCACGUCUUCCCCGGCUCCGCGCCAUCCCCUUCCUAGGCCUCGCCGUCGUCCACCGCCCUGGUGCUCUCGGCGCGGCAUGGUCAACGUGGUCAAGGAACGACUUCCAUCGGACAUGGACUGCACGUGGAGAGGCUGACAGCUGGGUCCACGGCGGCAGCAAGGAAGUGCCUCCUUAUUACGUGCAAAAUAUUUAUUCCUCCACCUGACAGCGGGGACCCACCAGCUACAUCUUCGCACGCAAGGAAGUGCGCCCGGCCAAUUAAACGAUUCGCCCCCCGACUGCUGGGACCCACCAGCUACAUCUUCGCACGCAAGGAAGUGCGUCCGGGCAAAAAAGAAUGAUUCGCCCCCCUGAUUGAUGGGACCCACCAGCUACAUCUUCGCACACAAGGAAGUGCGNNNNNNNNNNNNNNNNNNNNNNNNNNNNNNNNNNNNNNNNNNNNNNNNNNNNNNNNNNNNNNNNNNNNNNNNNNNNNNNNNNNNNNNNNNNNNNNNNNNNNNNNNNNNNNNNNNNNNNNNNNNNNNNNNNNNNNNNNNNNNNNNNNNNNNNNNNNNNNNNNNNNNNNNNNNNNNNNNNNNNNNNNNNNNNNNNNNNNNNNNNNNNNNNNNNNNNNNNNNNNNNNNNNNNNNNNNNNNNNNNNNNNNNNNNNNNNNNNNNNNNNNNNNNNNNNNNNNNNNNNNNNNNNNNNNNNNNNNNNNNNNNNNNNNNNNNNNNNNNNCGCACGCAAGGAAGUGCGUCCGGGCCAAAAAAACGAUUCUCCCCCUGACUGCUGGGACCCACCAGCUACAUCUUCGGACGCAAGGAAGUGUGUUCGGGCAAAAAAAAAGAUUCGCCCCCUGACUGCUGGGACCCACUAGCUACAUCUUCGCACGCAAGGAAGUGCCUGACAGUCGGGACCCACCUAGUCGAAGAGUACGUAGCGUUGUCAUUCUAGUCGCGAACGUGUACGUACAUAUAUACUGGUCGAUGUAGAGGCGCGCAUGUGUCGUAGUAGAGGCGCGCACGUGUCGUAGUAGAGGCGCGCACAUAGCAUGUACACGUACGUACAGCGGCCAGGGUGCAAGAAAGAAAAUAUGGCCACAUAUAUGUACAUACGGACGAGUCUCGAACGCCUACUCGCGCAUACGUAUGGCCAGGGCUCGUGUACAUGGCUGGGUCGGAACGGAGAAACAUCAUCGUCAUCGUGUUCAUGGGGAGGCAACCGGCUGGGUCAGAAUGAAAUGCAUGGUCGUGUUCAUCAGGAGGGCUUGGACGGAACAGGCGAUGAAAACGAGGCCUAGCGUACCGCAAAACGGAGGAAACGGCCUUGUGUUCGACCGGCCAUGUUCGAAACGGGAUCCUGUUCAUCGGGAGGGGUGUGGCGUACCGCAAAACGGACGAAACGGACCUCCUACGGUCGUAAUAGGGGUCGUGUUGAUCGGGAGGGGUGUGGCGUAUCGCAAAACGAACGAAACAGACUUGUGUUUGAGCGCUACGGUCGAAACGGGGGUCCUGUUCAUCGGGAGGGGGGUGGCGUACCGCAAAAAAGGACUCCACGGGAUACUGUUCAUCUCCACCGUCGACCUCCUCCAGCUCCACGGGCUACUGUUCAUCCACCGUCGACCUCCUCCAGCCUCCACCUACGACUGUUCAUCCACGGGCUCCUGUUCAUCCAGCCUCCAUCGCGUGCUACUCCACCGGCUACUGUUCAACCACCCCUCUCCACGGUCUCCUGUUCAACCACCCCUCCACGGGGAAAAUUAUUCGUUCGGCCCAAAAUGUCACGGAUGUGUCUUUUUUUGUAGUGGAGGGUGGGGGCGCGCCCCCUGUCUCGUGGGCCCCCUGAUGCUCCACCGACAUCAACUCCAACUCCAUAUAUUCCAUUGCAGGGAGAAAAAAAAUCAGAGAUGAAGUUUCAUCACGUUUUACGACACGGUGCCGCCGUCAAGCCCUAAAACCUCUCGGGAGGGCUGAUCUGGAGUCCGUUCGGGGCUCCGGAGAGGGGGAUUCGUCGUCGUCGUCAUCGUCAACCAUCCUCCAUCACCAAUUUCAUGAUGCUCACCGCCGUGCGUUAGUAAUUCCAUCGUAGGCUUGCUGGACGGUGAUGGGUUGGAUGAGAUUUACCAUGUAAUGAAGUUAGUUUUGUUAGGGUUUGAUCCCUAGUAUCCACUAUGUUCUGAGAUUGAUGUUGCUAUGACUUUGUUAUGCUUAAUGCUUGUCACUAGGGCCCGAGUGCCAUGAUUUCAGAUCUGAACCUAUUAUGUUUUCAUGAAUAUAUGUGAGUUCCUGAUCCUUACUUGCAAGUCUAUAGUCACCUAUUAUGUGUUAUGAUCCGACAACCCCGAAGUGACAAUAAUCGGGAUACUUCUCGGCGAUAACCGUAGUUCGAGGAGUUCAUGUAUUCACUAUGUGUUAAUGCUUUGGUCCAGUACUCUAUUAAAAGGAGGCCUUAAUAUCCCUUAGUUUCCAUUAGGACCCCGCUGCCAUGGGAGGGUAGGACAAAAGAUGCCAUGCAAGUUCUUUUCCAUAAGCACGUAUGACUAUAUUCGGAAUACAUGCCUACAUUACAUUGAUGAACUGGAGCUAGUUCUGUGUCACCCUAUGUUAUAACUAUUACAUGAGGAAUCGCAUCAGACAUAAUUAUCCAUCACUGAUCCAAUGCCUACGAGCUUUUCACAUAUUGUGCUUUGCUUAUUUACUUUUCCGUUGCUACUGUUACGAUUACUACAAAACUGCUAUCGUUACUUUUGCCACUGUUACCAUUACUAUCAUACUACUUUGCUACUAAAUACUUUGCUCCAGAUACUAAGUUAUCCAGGUGUGGUUGAAUUGACAACUCAACUGGUAAUACUUGAGAAUAUACUUUGGCUCCCUUUGUGUUGAAUCAAUAAAUUUGGGUUGAAUACUCUACCCUCGAAAACCAUUGCGAUCCCCAAUACUUGUGGGUUAUCAGCCACUUUUGACCUCCACGCUCCCCUCCUUGUCUUCCCCCGAUGUCACUUGAUGUGGUGCACGAGCCAGCAUCCUGGUUAACAUCGGAUCCCCUAAGUCUUCGGCAAGAGCCGCCGAACACCUGAUCCUCUCUAUCUUCCAUAUCCAACCCUGGCCGAGGACGAUUUUCUUAGGAUAAUGUUAUGAUAAAUACAAUGACAAUGUGUUCGGUUACGGGGCGCUCACCGGGGUAUCUAAAUGGUUGCAGUCAAGGCCUGUGUCUUCCAUGAUGUCUGGACACUUUAUUCGUGAUCCGAAGAAUGAUUUAUACAUCCCUUCGAGUGUCAUGCUGAAGAAGUGCUGAACAGUUCGCGGUCCUUCCGGAUUGAACUCCCACAUAUGGAGAGGUCGUUGUUGGCAUGGCAGGACCCGUCGAACGAGCAUUACCUGAAUUACCUUUAGAAGACCAAUAUCCUUCUCGAUAAGAUCUCGGAUGCGGCUUUGCAGCAUCCGUACAUCGUCAGCCGACCCCCAGUCCAUCCCCUUCUUGACCCAUGACGCAAGCUGUGGUGGAGGGCCGGAGCGGAAGGCAGAAGCAGCCGCCCACUUUUUUCCUCAGGGAGCUGUGAUGUAAAACCACUCCGGUUGCCAUAGGUCGGAAACCUCUGGGAAGGAAUCCUUUAGCCAUAAAGCGUUGGCGCAUUUUCUUAUUCUAGCCCCUUCACACUCCGCGUGUUUCCCUAUGAUCAUCUUCGAUGUUACAUUAAAGGUUUUUAGCCAUAAGCCGAAGUGCGGAACAAUGCGGAGGAAGGCCUCGCACACGAGGAUGAAGGAUGAGAUGUGAAGGAAGGAAUCCGGAGCUAGAUCAUGAAAAUCUAGCUCGUAAUAAAACAUGAGCCCUCUAACGAAAGGAUGAAGACGGAGGCCUAGCCCUCGAAGGAAGUGAGAGAUGAACACAACACUCUCGUCGGACUUGGGAGUAGGUAUGACCUGACCUUGAGCAGGAAGCCUGUGGGGAAUUUCUGCUGUCAAGUACCUCGCCCCCCUAAGCCUCUUGAUAUCCUCCUCUGUGAUGGAGGAGGCCAUCCACCGGCCUUGAAGGCUGGAGCUGGACAUGGUCGGAAGCUUGGAGCGUUUUCGCUGGAGCCUUGGGUGUUGGAACUCGAGGUAGGAGAAGGAGAGGAUUAAGCGUAAAGGGAAAAGACAGGCCUUGAUCUCUUUAUAAAGAGAAUGAAUAUCAAACAUCCCCACGGGGCAUUUUUGGAACUUACCUAUUCUCAAGGAAUCCUAUCCAUGGAACGGUUGGGUUACCCAAGCCCAUAUUGAUGAGAAUCCCAUAAUAAGGGGACAAGAUGUGCCAAUAAAGCUGCCUCGUGAAACGUGCCAUGGCAGGCUGAUAAAACAGUUCGGAUAAAAACUGGGUCGUGUUAAACUGUCUGUAGAUUAGAUUCGUGAAAUAUUAUACUCUCUACGGUGGUAUGUGGAAUUUUUUUGUAGAGUCGGACAUGAUUCUUGUGUUCAAAAUCUAUUUUGGAGUAUUCGUAGAAGGAACCCGCCUUGCAAUGCCGAAGACAAUCUGCACGCCGGACUCGAUCGUCAUUGAAGCUUGGUUCAAGGGCUACUGAGGGAGUCCUGGAUUAGGGGGUAUUCGGAUAUGUAGAUUUCCUUCUCUGUAACCGACUCUGUGCAACCCUAUCCCACUCCGGUGUCUAUAUAAACCGGAGGGUUUAGUCCGUAGGACCAAGAACAACAAUCAUAAUCAUAGUAGCUUCUAGGGUUAGCCUUCUCGAUCUCAUGGUAGAUCAACUCUUUUAAUACUCAUAUCAUCAAGAUCAAUCUAGCAGGAAGUAGGAUAUUAUCUCCAUAGAGAGGGCCCAAACCUGGGUAAACAUCGUGUCCCCCGCCUCCUAUUACCAUUAGCCUUCGACGCACAGUUCGGGACCACCUACCCGAGAUCCGCCGGUUUUGACACCGACAGGCGGCACCCCCUUUCCUUCCCUCCUUCCCCUCCUUGCUUCCCCUCCUAGUUGGACUAGGAAAGGGGGAACCUACUCCAACUUGGAUGAGGAUUCCACCCCUUGGGGCGCGCCCCUUGAGGCCGGCCGGCCCCCUCCUCCACUCCUUUAUAUACGGGGGAGGGGGCACCCCAUAGACACAAAAGUUGAUCAAGUUGAUCUUUUAGCCGUGUGAUGUGCCCCCUCCACAGAUUUACACCUUGGUCAUAUCUUUGUAGUGCUUAGGCGAAGCCCUGCGUCAGUAACUUCAUCAUCACCGUCACCACGCUGUCAUGCUGAUGGAACUCUCCCUUGGCCUCAGCUAGAUCUAGAGUUUGGGGGACGUCACCGAGAUGAACGUGUGCAGAUCGCGGAGGUGUCGUGCGUUCGGUACUUGAUCGGUUGGAUCACAAAGACCGCAAAAACAAGUUAGACGUCCUCUACUUUGUUUUUGCAAGUUUUACGUGGCUGCUACAGGCUUAGCAAGAACCGUUCUUACCUAUGCAUCAAAACCACAACGAUUUUUCGUCAAGUGUGUUGUCUUAACCUUCAACAAGGAUCGGGCGUAGCCACACUCGAUUCAACUAAAGUUGGAGAAACAGACACUCACUAGGCACUUGUGUGCAAAGCACGUCGGUAGAACCAGUCUCACAUAAGCAUACGCGUAAUGUCGGCCUGAGCCGCUUCAUCCAACAAUACCACCGAAUCAAAGUAUGACAUGCUGGUAAGCAGUAUGACUAUUAUCGCCCACAACUCUUUGUGUUCAACUCGUGCAUAUAACAUCUAUGCAUAGACCUGACUCGGAUGCCACUGUUGGGGAACGCAGUAAUUUCAAAAUUUUCCUACGAUCAUGAAAGAUCUAUCUAGGUGAUGCAUAGAAAUGGGGGGAGAGUGUGUCCACGUACCCUCGUAGACCGAAAGUGGAAGCAUUAUAAAUUGUUGUAUGAGGUGAUCAUAUUUUGUAACAAAGUUAUCGGCAACUGGUAGGAGCCAUAUGGUUGUCGCUUUAUUGUAUGCAAUGCAGUCGCCAUGUAACUGUUUUACUUUAUCACUAAGUGGUAGCGAUAGUUGUAGUAACAAUAGUUGGCGAUACGACAACGAUGCUACGAUGGAGAUCAAGGUGUCGCGCCGGUGACGAUGGAGAUCAUGACAAUGCUUCGGUGAUGGAGAUCAUGAGCACAAGAUGAUGAUGGCCAUAUCAUGUCACAUAUUUUAAUUGCAUGUGAUGCUUAUGUUUUAUGCAUCUUAUUUUGCUUUGUACGGCGGUAGCAUUAUAAGAUGAUCCCUUACUAAAUUUCAAGGUUCAAGUGUUCUCCCUGAGUAUGCACCGUUGCUACAGUUUGUCGUGCCGAGACACCACGUGAUGAUCGGGUGUGAUAAGCUCUACGUUCACAUAUGAUACGUCCAUUUUGCAUCAUGCUUUUAUAUCGAUAUUUAUUGCAUUAUGGGCUUUUAUUACACGUUAUGUCACAAUACUUAUGCCUUUUCUCUCUUAUUUUACAAGGUUUACACGAAGAGGGAGAAUGCCAGCAGCUGGAACUCUGGGCUGGAAAAGGUGCAAAUAUUAGAGACCUAUUCUGCAGAACUCCAAAAGUCAUGAAACUCCACAAAAGUUAUUUUUGGAAUUAAUAAAAAAUAUUGAGCGAAGAAAAUACAGAGGGGGUCCACCCACCAUCCACGAGGGUGGGGGUGCGCCCUACCCCCCUGGGCGCGCCCCCCUGUCUUGUGAGCCCCCUGACAGGCCUCUGGUGACCAUCUUCUUCUAUAUGAAGUCUUUUACCCUCGAAAAAAUCACAAGCAAGCUUUCGGGACGAGACACCGCCGCCACGAGGCGGAACCUUGGCGGAAACAAUCUACGGCUCCGACGGAGCUGUUCUCCCGGGGAAACAUCCCUCCGGGAGGGGGAAAUUGUCACCAUCGUCAUCACCAUCGAUCCUCUCAUCGGGAGGGGGUCAAUAUCCAUCAAAAUCUUCAUGAGCGCCAUCUCCUAUCAAACCCUAGUUCAUCUCUUGUAUUCAAUCCUUGUCUCAAAGCCUCAGAUUGGUACAUGUGGGUUGCUAGUAGUGUUGAUUACUCCUUGGAGUUGAUGCUAGUUGGUUUAUUCUGUGGAAGAUUAUAUGUUCAGAUCCUUAAUGCAUAUUAAUACCCCUCUAAUUAUGAACAUGAAUAUGAUUUGUGAGUAGUUACGUUUGCUCCUGAGGACAUGGGAGAAGUCUUGCUAUAAGUAGUCAUGUGAAUUUGGUAUUCGUUCGAUAUUUUGAUGAGAUGUAUGUUGUCUCUCCUCUAGUGGUGUUAUGUGAACGUCGACUACAUGACACUUCACCAUUGUUUGGGCCUAGAGGAAGGCAUUGGGAAGUAAUAAGUAGAUGAUGGGUUGCUAGAGUGACAGAAGCUUAAACCCUAGUUUAUGAGUUGCUUCGUAAGGGGCUGAGUUGGAUGCAUAUGUUUCAUGCUAUGGUUAGUUUACCUUAAUACUUCUUUUGUAGUUGCAGAUGCUUGCAAUUGGGUUAAUCAUAAGUGGGAUUCUUGUCCAAGAAAGGGCAGUACCCAAGCACCGGUCCACCCACAUACCAAAUUAUCAAAGUAACGAACGCGAAUCAUAUGAGCGUGAUGAAAACUAGCUUGACAAUAAUUCCCAUGUGACCUUGGGAGCGCUUUUCUCUAUAUAAGAGUUUGUCCAGGCUUGUCCUGUGCUACAAAAAGGACUGGACCAUCUUGCUGCACCUUAUUUAUUUUCAUUACUUGUUACCCGUUACAAAUUACCUUAUCACAAAACUAUCUGUUACCGAUAAUUUCAGUGCUUGCAGAGAAUACCUUACUAAAAAUCGUUUGUCAUUUCCUUCUGCUCCUCGUUGGGUUCGACACUCUUACUUAUAGAAAGGACUACGAUAGAUCCCCUACACUUGUGGGUCAUCAACAUACAACCGGUGCAAGCCAUUUUUGCACACGCAUAAUACUCGGGUUAAACUUGACGAGCCUAGAAUAUGCAGAUAUGGCCUCGGAACACUGAGACCGAAAGGUCGAACGUGAAUCAUACAGUAGAUAUGAUCAACAUAGUGAUGUUCACCAUUGAAAACUACUCCAUCUCACGUGAUGAUCAGACAUGGUUUAGUUGAUUUGGAUCACGUGAUAACUUAGAUGAUUAGAGGGAUGUCUAUCUAAGUGGGAGUUCUUAAGUAAUAAGAUUAAUUGAACUUUAAUUUGUCAUGAACUUAGUACCUGAUAGUAUUUUGCAUGUCUAUCUUGUUUUAGAGCAAUGGCCCGUGCUACCGUUCCUUUGAAUUUUAAUGUGUUCCUAGAGAAAGCUAAGUUAAAAUAUGAUGGCAGCAACUACACGGACUGGGUCCGUAACUUGAGGAUUAUCCUCAUUGCUGCACAUAAGAAUUACGUCCUCGAAGCACCGCUGUGCCAGGCUUGCUGCAAAUGCUACUGAUGACAUUAAGUACGUCUGGCAGAGCAAAAGCUGAUGACUACUCGAUAGUUCAGUGUGCCAUGCUUUACGGCUUAGAAUCGGGACUUCAAACACGGUUUCAAUGUCAUGGAGCAUGUGAGAUGGUCCAGGAGUUAAAGUUAAUAUUUCAAGCAAAUGCCCGAGAUGAGAGAUAUGAAGUCUCCAACAAAUUCUACAGCUGCAAAAUGGAGGAGAAUAGUUCUGUCAGUGUACACAUACUCCGAAUGUUUGGGUACCAUAACCACUUGACUCAACUGGGAGUUAAUCUUCCUGAUGAUAGUGUCAUUGACAGAGUUCUUCAAUCACUGCCACCAAGCUAUAAAGGCUUCGUGAUGAACUUUAAUAUGGAAGGGAUGAACAAGACUAUUCCUGAGCACUUCACAAUGUUAAAGCCUGCGGAGGUAGAAAUAAAAAAGGAGCAUCAAGUGUUGAUGGUCAACAAGACCACUAGUUUCAAGAAAAAGGGCAAAGGGAAGAAGGGGAACUUCAAGAAGAACAGCAAAAAGGUUGCUGCUCAAGAGAAGAAACCCAAGUCUGGACCUAAGCCUGAGACUGAGUGCUUCUACUGCAAAGGGACUGGUCACUGGAAGCGGAACUUCCCCAAGUAUUUGGCGGAUAAGAAGGAUGGCAACGUGAAAGGUAUAUUUAAUAUAUGUGUUAUUGAUGUGUACUUAACUAAUGCUUGCAUUAGCGCCUGGGUAUUUGAUACUGGUUCUGUUGCUCAUAUUUGCAACUUGAAAUAGGGGCUACAGAUUAUGCGAAGAUUGGCUAAGCACAAGGUGACAAUGCAUUUGGGAAAUGGUUCCAAGAUCGAUGUGAUCGCCGUCGCCAUGCUACCUCUACAUCUACCAUCUGGAUUAGCUCUUGACCUGAAUAAUUGUUAUUUGGUGCCAGUGUUGAGCAUGAACAUUAUAUCUGGAUCUUAAUUAAUGUGAGAUGGUUAUUCAUUUAAAUCAGAGAAUAAUGGUUGUUCUGUUUAUAUGAGUAAUAUCUUUUAUGGUCAUGCUACCUUGCUGAGUGGUCUAUUUUUGUUGAAUCUCGAUAGUGAUGAUACACAUAUUCAUAAUAUUGAAGCCAAAAGAUGCAAAGUUCAUAAUGAUAGUGCAAUUUAUUUGUGGCACUACAGUUUGGGUCAUAUCGGUGUGAAGCGCGUGAAGAAACUCCAUGUUGAUGGACUUUUGGAAUCACUCGAUUAUGAAUCACUUGGUGCUUGCGAACCGUGCCUUAUGGGCAAGAUGACUAAAACUCCGUUCUCCAGAAUAAUGGAACGAGCUACUGACUUAUUUGAAAUAAUACAUACUGAUGUAUGCGGUCCAAUAAGUGUUGAGGCUCGUGGCGGGUAUUGUUAUUUUCUUACCUUCACAGAUGAUUUGAGCAGAUAUGGUUAUAUCUACUUGAUGAAACAUAAGUCUGAAAUAUUUGAAAAGUUCAAAGAAUUUUAGAGUGAAGUGGAAAAUCAUCGUAACAAGAAAAUAAAGUUUCUACGAUCUGAUCAUGGAGGAGAAUAUUUGAGUUACGAGUUUGGUCUUCAUUUGAAACAACAUGGGAUAGUUUCACAACUAACGCCACCUGGAACACCACAGCGAAAUGGUGUGUCCGAAUGUCGUAACCGUACUUUAUUGGAUAUGGUGCGAUCUAUGAUGUCUCUUAUUGAUUUACCGCUAUCGUUUUGGGGUUAUGCUUUAGAGACGGUUGCAUUCACUUUAAAUAGGGCACCAUCAAAAUAUGUUGACACGAUGUCUUACGAACUAUGGUUUGGCAAGAAACCAAAGUUGUCGUUUCUUAAAGUUUGGGGCUGCGAUGCUUAUGUGAAAAAGCUUCAACCUGAUUAGCUCGAACCCAAAUCGGAGAAGUGCGUCUUCAUAGGAUACCCAAAGGAAACUGUUGGGUACACCUUCUAUCACAGAUCCGAAGAUCUUUGUUGCUAAGAAUGGAUCCUUUCUAGAUAAGGAGUUUCUCUCGAAAGAAGUGAGUGGGAGGAAAGUAGAACUUGAUGAGGUAAUUGUACCUUCUCCCUUAUUGGAAAGUAGUUCAUCACAGAAAUCAGUUCCCGUGAUUCCUACACCAAUUAGUAAGAAAGCUAAUGAUGAUGAUCAUGAAGCUUCAAAUCAAGUUACUAGCAAACCUCGUACGUCUUCUAGAGUAAGAUCCGCACCAGAGUGGUACGACAAUCCUAUUCUGGAAGUCAUGUUACUAGACCAUGAUGAACCUAUGAAUUAUGAGGAAGCGAUGAUGUGCACAGAUCCUACGAAAUGGCUUGAGGCCAUGAUUUGAGAUAAGAUCCAUGUAUGAGAACAAAGUGUGGACUUUGGUGGACUUGCCCGAUGAUCGGCAAGCCAUAGAAUAUAAAUGGAUCUUUAAGAAGAAGACCGACGCAUACGGUAAUGUUCCUGUUUAUCUCGACACUUUGUGAAAGGUUUUCGAAAAGUUCAAGGAGUUGAGUACAAUGAGACUUUCUCACUCGUGGCGACGCUUAAGUCUGUCCGAUUCAUGUUAGCAAUUGCCACAUUUUACGAUUAUGAAAUUUGGCAAAUGGAUGUCAAAACUACAUUCCUGAAUGGAUUUCUAGAAGAAGAGUUGUAUAUGAUGCAACCACAAGGUUUUGUCAAUCCAAAAGGUGCUAACAAAGUGUGCAAGCUCCGGUGAUCCAUUUAUGGACUAGUGCAAGCCUCUCGGAGUUGGAAUAAACACUUUGAUAGUGUAAUCAAAGCAUAUGGUUUUAUACAGACUUUUGGAGAAGCCUGUAUUUACAAGAAAGUGAGUGUGAGCUCUGUAGCAUUUCUGAUAUUAUAUGUGGAUGACAUAUUGUUGAUUGGAAAUGAUAUAGAAUUUCUAGAUAGCAUAAAGGGAUACCUGAAUAAGAGUUUUUCUAUGAAAGACCUCGGAGAAGCUGCUUACAUAUUGGGCAUCAAGAUCUAUAGAGAUAGAUCAAGACGCUUAAUUGGACUUUCACAAAGCACAUACCUUGAUAAAGUUUUGAAGAAGUUCAAAAUGGAUCAGUCAAAGAAAGAGUUCUUGCCUAUGUUACAAGGUGUGAAGUUGAGUUAGACACAAUGCCCGACCACUGCAGAAGAUAGAGAGAAAAUGAAAGUCAUUCCUUAUGCUUCAGCCAUAGGUUCUAUCAUGUAUGCAAUGUUGUGUACCAGACCUGAUGCGUGCCUUGCUAUAAGCAUAGCAGGGAGGUACCAAAGUAAUGCCGGAGUGGAGCACUGGACAGCUGUCAAGAACAUCCUGAAACACCUGAAAAGGACUAAGGAUAUGUUUCUCGUUUAUGGAGGUGAAAAAGAUCUCAUCGUAAACGGUUACGUCGAUGCAAGCUUUGACACUGGUCCGGAUGACUCUAAGUCGCAAACCAGAUACAUAUUUCUAUUGAAUGGAGGAGAUGUCAGUUGGUGCAGUUCCAUCCAAAGCGUCGUGGCGGGAUCUACGUGUGAAGCGGAGUACAUUGCAGCUUCGGAAGUAGCAAAUAAAGGAGUUUGGAUGAAGGAGUUCAUAUUCGAUCUAGGUGUCAUACCUAGUGCAUCGGGUCCAAUGAAAAUCUUUUGUGCCAAUACUGGUGCAAUCUCCUUGGCAAAGGAAUCCAGAUUUCACAAGAAAACCAAGCACAUCAAGAGACACUUCAAUUCCAUCUGUCAUCAAGUGUCGGAAGGGGACAUAGAGAUUUGCAAGAUACAUACAGAUCUGAAUGUUGCAGACCCGUUGACUAAGCCUCUUCCACGAGCAAAAUAUGAUCAGUACCAAAGCUCCAUGGGUGUUAGAAUCAUUACUAUGUAAUAUAGAUAAUUGACUCUAGUGCAAGUGGGAGACUGAAGGAAAUAUGCCCUAGAGGCAAUAAUAAAGUUAUUAUUUAUUUCCUUAUUUCAUGAUAAAUGUUUAUUAUUCAUGCUAGAAUUGUAUUAACUGGAAACAUAGUACAUGUGUGAAUGCAUAGACAAAAACAUAUUGUCCCUACUCUGCCUCUACUUGACUAGCUCGUCAAUCAAAGAUGGUUAAGUUUCCUAACAUAGACAUGAGUUGUCAUUUGAUGAACGGGAUCACAUCAUUAGGAGAAUGAUGUGAUGGACACGACCCAUCCGUUAGCUUAGCAUUAUGAUCGUGACAGUUUCAUUGCUACUACUUUCUUCAUGACUUAUACAAGUUCCUUAGACUAUGAGAUUAUGCAACCCCCGAAUACUGGAGAAACACUUUGUGUGCUAGCAAACAUCACAACGUAAAGCGAUGAUUAUAAAGGUGCUCUACAAGUGUCUCCGGAAGUGUUUGUUGGGUUGGCAUAGAUCGAGAUUAGGAUUUGUCACUUCGUGUUUCGGAGAGGUAUCUCUGGGCCCGCUUGGUAAUACUCAUCACCAUAAGCCUUGCAAGCAUUGUGACUAAUGAGUUAGUUGCGGAAUGAAGUAUUGCGGAACAAGUAAAGAGACUUGUCGAUAACGAGAUUGAACUAGGUAUGAUGAUACAGAUGAUCGAAUCUCGGGCAAGUAACAUACCGAUGACAAACGGAACAACGUAUGUUGUUAUGCGGUUUGACCAAUAGAGAUCUUCAUAGAAUAUGUAGGAAUCAAUAUGAGCAUCCAGGUUCCUCUAUUGGUUAUUGAGCGGAAGUGAGUCUCGGUCAUGUCUACAUAGUUCUCGAACACGUAGGGUCCGCACGCUUAAUGUUAGAUGAUGAUCGGUAUUAUGAGUUUAUGUGUUUUGAUGUACCGAAGGUUGUUCGGAGUCCCGAUGUGAUCAUGGACAUGACAAGGAGUCUCGAAAUGGUCGAGACACAAAGAUUGAUUGUGGCACCCUGGCUCAGAGAAAACCGGAACGCCCCGUAGUCCAGCCCAGAGAUCGAGAUGAAGUCUUCAGGAAUACGGCACUGCUUAGCAUAGAACAGACCAGCUCUUUAUUAUUACAUGAAUGGGAAUACAAGGUCCCCGAUAUUACAAUGAAUAACAUCGGUACGGCAACACUAUGCCAUCCUCAGUUGCUUUAUGCAAGCAGCAAAACAACUCGAAGCAGUUGAAUAACUCUUAGCAAUGGAACAACGACGACAGUGGUGAACUCCACUCCGCAGGGACUCUGGCUGGAACGCUUAUCCUAGCUCGCACGAACGGAAACCAUGACAAGUACGCAAUCAAAUCCGGCAUGACCUGCAAACUGGCAUGACACGCCAGGUUAGUACAUUGAAUGUACUUGCAAGCUCAAAAUAACCAGAAGCAUUCAAGACAGACAACAACAUGGCAAUUACAGGUUAAACAAGAAUUAACAUGAUAUCAUCAGAACCAGAUAGCAUGAACAACUUGAACAUGAUAUAGUUAACACAACAUACUAAUUCGACAAUACUAUCAUGCAACAUGAUGUCACUACAUGCACCACUUAUACCGCUCGGGCUACCUUGUAACCAUCACAUGCAUCACUUACCAACCUCGGACAUCACACGACCAUCUCAGGAUCAAAUCAAACUUGGUAUAAACAAUACCGUAGUAAUCAUUAAAUGACCACAAGGAGCUUGAUCAUUACCCACGAUUCUCGCACAACAUCACCAAUAUACAACAACUCGGUAUCCUCGAUACCACCGUGAUCCUUACGGCGAGCACAACCCGACCAACACUUGGCCCCAAACCGUGAUCCUUACGACGAUCACAACCUGACCAACACCUGGCCCCAAACCGUGAUCCUUACGGUGAUCACAAUCCGACCAACACUUGGCCUGUGACCCUUACGGCGAUCACAACCUGACCACUAAAUGGCCCGUGAUCCUUACGGCGAUCACAACCAACUUAUCUCAUCGUUAUUAAGCACAUUAUUCUUGUUACUAUUGACUCAUGGUGUGACCUACUUUCGACCUGGGCCCUUAUCCGCGGGCGCGGCUAUCGAUAGAUUUAAUAUACACUCUGCAGAGGUUAGUACACUGUACCCACACUACGGAACCCAUGGCCUUGCACUCCCAUUCGGGUGGACCAACGGUGUUCCGACACAACCGUCCUACUUCCAUGACACUCUCCCGGCUAAUCCGACUCAGUCCCCAUCGGGCUAGUCCUGGGUGGCCCCGUGUCUACCUCUAGACACAACGACCACCAUCGUGGCCCGUCCCACUCUGGGACCCGGAUCCAAAAUCUAACUCGACAACGGGCACACAAGGCUUAUGUCCGCCUACCUGAUCAGGGUAGCACGCGCCCAUAACCUUACCUCGUUGGAGGCACCGGCGAGAGGCACAACAAUAGACCCAGUUAGGACCGUCCCAUACCGAUAAGCGUGGUUGCACUGGUCAGCAUCGAUUCAGUAGCACCAUGACUCAGCUAACAAUUGUUCAAGUUCAAUUUAAUCCGGUUAACUUGAAUGCAAAUAUGUUGAGCCAUGAUAAAAUACAUGAACACGAUAUCAACAAAAUCAUGAGAGUAUCACAUAACUAUCCACCAUAUCAACAAUAAUUCAUAUCCACUGAGCAUGGCAUACUGACUAGCAUGACCAUCACCAACAUCAACAUGUACCACCAGCAAUCAUAAACAAAUGAAAGGAGAUACUAGCAGGUAGAAUAUGAUAACAGAGUACAAGACAACAUAGCACAAAAGAGAACAUGCAAUUAUAAACAUUACCGGAACAACGAUAACCAUCUUUUCAAGGACGCGGAGUUUUGGCUCCCGGGCUCAUCUGCACCCAUGCUUAGAAAAAAAUCAAAACAAAUACUAGAAAAAUUCAAAAAAUUCCAAUUUUUUGUGGUGGUAGAUAAUUUGACGCGUGAGGUGUGCACCAAAAAUCAACUCAUUUGAGCAUCUCAGCAGCUCUCGGAAAAAAAGACAAAAUCAGGGUCUGUAAAAAUGUGUACUGUUCACGCACUGUUUUGACCCGAUUUGUCUUUUUUGCCGAGAGCUGCUCAGAUGUCCAAAUGAGUUGAAUUUUGGGGCGCACCUCACGCGUCAAAUUAUCUACCAUCACAAAAAGAUUUGGAAUUUUUUGAAUUUUUCUACUACUUUUUUGAAUUUUUUACUGAGCGGGAGCAGAUGAGCCCGGGCUCCAGGAUGAAUUAUCGUCUUUUCAACAAACAAACAUUUAAAAAAGGUUCAUGUUGAAAAUCAUGGCUACUGCACGACUAUCAUGCAAGUGGGUAUUGUGGAUUGCCUGGGGAUGAAGAAGGCACCAGGGAGAACUGCGGUGAAGCCACGGAAAGAUUUGCCGGAAAUAGUUCUCUCUCGGAGGGGCUGAAUAGGGCAUGGGCAAAAAGGUCAUUUUCACAGUGUCAAACCAUAGUCAAAGCAUGACCAACAGAAUGGGCUUGACGAAACGAAGAAGUAGGCUUUGGAAUCACCUCAUUUGGAGCUACAGUUGCGGAGAUAUAAGGGAUUUACUGCCAGGGACCCAUCUGUAAUGAAAAAUUUUCAACCAGGGGCCUGGACAGAAAAACGGAAACGCAUGACGAAAUACGUUUUCGGUGGAUGAAAGCGUGAACGAUCGAAUGUGUCUCCACUUAUCCACGUCAGCUUGGACUGGUCAACAUGGGGCUGGCGGCUGGGUGGCUGACUGGUGGGGUCCACGCACAGGGGAUGGGGCCCACCUGGCCAGCUGGAGGGGGCACGGGCGCUCGUCCCCUUCCUCCCGCUCGCCUGUUCCUCGCUUGAAGCAGAGCAGCGGCAGGGGAGGGAAGAGACCAAGGGGCCGGCCGGCUUCGGCCAUCUCUGGCCAGGGCGCGGCUACCGGAGGGACCAGAGAAUCUUGGCGCCUCCGUCCCUAGGCAGCAGGGGCACCGGGGCGGCCUGGGGAGACGGCAAGGCGCGGCGACAGAGGAGCAACAGAGGAGGACGCCGGGGAAGGGAGCGGGCGGCUCCGGCCGUCUUCGGCCGGACGGAGACCACCGGCAGGUGCGGGGCGAUGAGGUGCACCCGUUCAGAGGCAGAACGAGCGCCGGGGAAGGGGUGGAGAACAGGGGAAGCCGCAGCGACGGAAAUCUACAGAGGCGGCGGCUGAGGUGGUGCUCCGGCGAAACUGGCGACUCCGGAGAGGGGCAAACGGGGCGGGGGAGGGAUGUAUGAGCUUCGGGAGGACUCGAGCUUCCUUUAUAUAGGCGCGGAGGAGGGCUCUAGAGCUCACGGACGAGCUCCCAACCAAGCUUUAAUGGCGGACAGAGGCUGGGCAUGGCACGGGCAUGGGCCUAGCGACGCAUUCAUGGCGAACCACGACGAGACAUCGAUGCAGGGCAUCACAAGGGAGCUCCAAGACAUGAAUGGAGGUCGAGACGAGGAAGGAGCCGACGAGAACAGGGACAAGAAGAAGCUAGAGGUGCAAUGUGCAUGACAUCAGCGUGAUCACCACGCACAAUGGAGUAAAAUCCAGGUUUUGGCCAGGCCGACCAAGUCUACUUGAUUGACCCUGGAGCCCGUAGUCUAAAUAAAGAAAUAAUUGGGUCCAGGGGAAAAGAAGAGCUUUGCACUUAGCUCCAAAGUAAACUAGCAGCCAAGUGUUUGUGCCGUGUAGUGGGGACACAAUCUAGGUAACUCAGUAAAUAGCUUGUCUGGGAAGUUUAUAUAUCGAAGGACUUUCAUCCUGGAGGUUUUUAGGGUAAAUGGAUCAAGAUUUACUGCAGUUGCUUCACAACCACAUAAUCUGGUCAGAAAUGAAAAUCAUGAUGAAGCACUCACAUGGUUGAUUGGAUUGAGCUGAGUUUGAUCAAGGCAGGGUUAUUUGAUCAUAUGAAGAUGAUGAGAAAGGUUUCAUACCAUAUGGAUAAACCAAAAUGGUACUUCCUUCACAAGCAUCUCCUAUGGACAGAAACUUGCAAAACUUCUAGAGGGAUAAUGGAUUAAUAAAAUAUUCCCAAAAUGGGUGGAGAUAUGUUUUAUGGGUAUAAUAAUGAUCUGGUAAUUUAUCAGGAUUUUUUAAGAAAUAUAAAAUACACUUGCUUCACAACCUGAAAAUAUUGCCAGAAACAAAGAUUUGCUCCUGUGCUCACAUAGAUGAUUUGAUGGGGCUGAAAAUUGGUGGAGGUGGCUAAUAUGAUCACAUUAAGGAGUGUGCAAAAGUUCAACUCAUUUGGAUACUCCUAGCUAGUACUUCCUUCACAAUGGCUUAUGUUUGACAGAAACUUUGAAAAAUUGUUGAGGAAGAUUGGCUAGGCAAAUAAAUUUGAACUUGUGCAUGAGGCAAUUAUUUGGACAUAUAAACAUGCCCAGAAAGGUCGGGAGCCGUUAGGAAAAAUAUAAAUGACACUUCCUUCACACAGUGCCAUUUAGGGCAGAAUAGAAAAAGGAAUAUUGGGGAAAUAUUUUUGAACAAGGCAAUGAAAAGUUUUGCCAUAUUUGAUCAAGAUAUGACCCAAUCAAUUAAUGAGAAUUAUUUGGGAAUUUUUGGAGUGAUAGAAAUAUAGGUUGCUUCACAAUCUAGGGCAAUUGGAGUUAUUCCUUUAAUAGAAAAUGAAUAUUCCCAAUAAAAAGAAUACUGGGAUUUGGGCUAGGAUGAAAAUGACAGGGUCUAGGGAAAUAUUUGGGAAUGACAAGCCACUCUGGAAGCAAAGAAGAGGGCAUCUUCUUCAGUUUCCAAGCCACAAAGCCACGGAAAAAGAAAACUCACACAAAAACCUCGGAAAAACAAAAGAAAAAGGAAGGGCCAAAAAUCGGGCUGUCACAAACCUUACCCCCUUGAAGAAAUCUCGUCCUCAAGAUUUCGUUGCUCAGGGAACUAGUAUGAAUAUUCUGACUUAAGGAAACCGUUUCCAACUCGGGGUAUCCUUUUUCCUUUAUUGUUGUUCCCACUAACUUUUUAUCUGACUGGCCCUGGGUGGUUUGCUUUACUGUAUCCACAUUCUGACAGAUCUUACCUAGCUUUCUCAUGCUCAUAUAGGCUCCAAUUUUCUUUUUAGAUCUGCUGACUAGCUGAGUGUGAUUUGAUUAUCACGACUGAAAUAUAUAUCCGUCUCACAAAUCCAAAAGUGAUUUCCGCUGGGUGUACCACCCGGCACUGACAAUCUUUCAUGUAAUGAUGAUCAGAAUUUUCUGAUGAAAACUCAAGCUCUGACUCAUUGCAUUGGGUUUCUCCACUAAAUACAGGUCCUUUGGGUUCCAAACAGUGAGUUCAAAUAUAACCGCUUCCUGACAGAUUCUGACUCAUCGCAGAAGUUUCUGAAUCAUCUUAUCCGGUUCCACUGUCGUCAAUAUCGGAUUCCUACCAAAUAUUUGAUUAUCUCAUGUAUGGCAUGUAUGAAAAUAUCUGUAGACUUGAGUGACGGUGGUUCUGACGGAAAAAUUUUGUUCACGACAGGCUAUCCAUGAUGAUUCAUAUAAGUGAGGACUCAGACUUCCAGACUGUUAUUCCUCAUGCCGAUUACUCAUGCUGUAGGCAUAUCCAUGUGGAUCAAUAUUGACUUAGACUGUCUGGGGAAUCUGCACCAUGGGGGUUGUGUACAAUUUUCAUACCUGCCUCACUGGUCUUGCUCCUUCAUUAUUGUUUUCUUGGUAUGGAUCCUUGGCUGAAAGAGCUGGGCCAUCUUGUUUCUUUGUAUGACCAUGGUACUGUCGAUGCAAUUUUUCGGCAAUUGUAGUUUAUCCUCAUUUUUCUGAUAAGGUAACCCAUUAAAUGGCAGGUUCAACACCUCUCAAGUUCUGAUUGUUGGGAAAUGAUCAUCUGAAACCCUUGCAAGAACUCGGCAAAUAAGUCAGUAGCCACCAGAACGGUCUUUACAACUCAGAUCCGGGACAUUACUGAAAUAACUCAACCACGGCUCAGGACGGCCGAAAAGUAGCUCAGAGCAUGAGACCGGGUCGAUAAGAAGAAGGUGGCAGCUCCCUAAAAUAGCCAAAAAGCAGCUAUAGGGCUACUUUCACAAAAAGAAACUCAACAGUUGUAUGAGACGGCCGAAAAGCAGCUCAGACUCGUGACAGUCAUUGAAGAGAGAAACAGAAAUCGGCAUCCACCCCGGAUAGCUAGAGACAUCUCAGAUCACAGGCAAGGUGCCUUCAUUGGAGAAAAGGGGACAAGGGCUCAUCAGGAUCAUUUUCCAGGUUCACGGGUACUUGUUUUGAGCUCACUGAUGUCGUCAAUCCUCAUAAUCCUUUGUCACACUGCGGUGUAUACUCGCUUUCUUCUCUUAAUCAUCCUCACGUGGUUAUCAGAUCCUCAUCUGAGUGACUUGCAAGAUCUUGGUGGUAUGCUCCUUGCAUACAUAUGAGGACCUGAUUCCGAGAUAGACGUGUAUUCUAACUGAUUCUUGAUUCUGGCCAAAAUGUUUUGGAUCUGAUUCUUGGGAUUCACUGCCAUAUGCUGUUAAUUCACAGCGUACUACCUUGUACCAAUGUCUUACUGAGGAAUAUUUGCUGGCUUGUGCUCGAAACUUUCAUCGGACAGCUUGCUGAAGAAGACUGAAUAUUGUGCUUCAGAAGCUUACCCCCUUAAAGACUUUGCUGGAGAAAGACUCGGUACCUUAUGCCGGAAGCUUUUGCGGUUGCUUACUAAAGAAGACAGGGUACCUUGCACGGGGAAUCAUCCACGUAUCAUACUGAGGAAGAUAGAUGAAUCUUUCCUUGUAAGCCUCUCGGGUAUCUUGCGAGGGAAAACUGGGUUGCUUACACCAGAAACUUCUUAUUGUGAUAUGCGGACCGAUUUCCACAUAUAUACCAUCUUAAUAUUUCUGAUGUUGAUUUCUUGUAUGAAACAGGGUUUUACUGGACUAUCCUCCUUUUCGAGUAUAUGCCAUAUUUUUGCUUUCUUCCAGGUACAUCGAGUUCCAAAAUCAUCCUCAAUGAAAAAUUAAACUUGUAUCUGAGCCAUACCUUUGAUAAUAUUCUGUCAACCUUGCACACAAUUUAUCUUCUUGCUGAUUUAAUCAUUUUGUUCUGAUGAGUGAACGCUAAUGCAAACUUGAUACUGACAUUCCAUCCAGGAUUUCUUUUGCAUCCAGACAAGAUAUUCCCAAUUUCACUGCAAUCUGCUGAUAAUUCCAUUUUGUUUAGCUGAAUUUCCAAAUAUAUGCAUUUCUUGCUGACUCUCCGGAUCCAGUGUCGGCUAACGAGCAACUUUAAUAGGGGAAAAAUUUGUAACACUGAAGGCCCAAAGAAAGGAACAACAGAAAUGACUAAAACAAAAGCACACAAGCAUUCUACUAAUAUAAUUAAUCAAGCAAUCAUCACAUAUUACUGCUACUCACACAAUAAUAUGCAUGCCUAGUUAAGCACACAAAUUUCACGGAAUCUUCGGUACUACGAUCUAGCAUGAUGUGACGGUGUGCACGAGGACGAAUAAAUGUGUGGAAGAAUUGGUGUAAACAGCGCUACACCAAGUGCUAGCUUAGCCAGAUAGCAACCUGGACUAGCUCGGAGGCGAGGACGUAUCGGUAAUCAUGUAGUGGGACACGAAGGUCGCAGCCACAUUAUUAUCAAGCGGACAGAAAAAGAUCCGUACUCGUCCAAGAAAUAAGAUAGCAGGGAAAGACUGAGGCUGCUGACAUUGCCCUUUCUUGAUAACUAAGAUCAUUAAGGAUUGUCAACACCAUAGAAUAAAAGAACGAUCCGGGAUAGAAGAAUGUCCAUCACCGAAAUGAUAGACGGGACUGAAAGAAAGACAUCGGUGCAAUACCUGAGCACCAUUUUUUGCGAACAGUGCCGGGAUCACUUGGCAUCACUCUGCUGGGACAAAAAUGACACCAAACACUGAAAGAAAAAGGAACUGCAGAAAUGCAAAGGUUGAGCUGUAGUGGAUCCGAACCGAUGCCAGGUACACUCACCAGAUAGACCGUUAGUACAAAUACUAAGGCUAUAUGCAUGCUAUGCAAACCACAAAUGCAUCAACCAAAUGCAAUCAUCAAGCCAAACUCUAUACUACCGAUUUCUAACGUUCACGUGGUCUAGGGCGUCCUACAGCCAGAACUGCUCUGAUACCAAGCCUGUGGCACCCUGGCUCAGAGAAAACCGAAACGCCCCGUAUUCCAGCCCAGAGAUCGAGAUGAAGUCUUCUGGUAUACGGCACUGCUUAGCAUAGAACAAACCAGCUCUUUAUUAUUACACAAAUAUGAAUACAAGGUCUCCCAUAUUACAAUGAAUAACAUCGGUACGGCGACACUACGCCAUCCUCAGUUGCUCUAUGCAAGCAGCAGAACAACUCGAAGCAGCGGAACACCGACGGCGGUGGUGAACUUUACUCCGCAGGGACUCUGGCUGGAACGCUUAUCCUAGCUCGCAUGACCAGAAACCAUGACAAGCAGGCAAUCAAAUCCGGCAUGACCUGCAAACUAGCAUGACACGCCAGGUCAGUACAUUGAAUGUACUUGCAAGCUCAAAAUAACCAGAAGCAUUCAAGACAGACAACAGCAUGGCAAUUACAGGUUAAACAAGAAUUAACAUGAUAUCAUCAGAACCAUAUAGCAUGAACAACUUGAACAUGAUAUAGUUAACACAACAUGAACAUGGCAUGAACAUAUUAAUCCGACAAUACUAUCAUGCAACAUGAUGUCACUACAUGUACCACUUAUACCACUCGGGCUACCUUGUAACCAUCACAUGCAUCACUUACCAACCUCGGACAUCACACGAUCAUCUCAGGAUCAAAUCAAACUUGGUAUAAAAAAUACCAUAGUAAUCAAUAAAUAACCACGAGGAGCUUGAUCUUUACCCACGAUUCUCGCAUAACAUCACAAAUAUACAACAACUCGGUAUUCUCGAUACCACCAUGAUCCUUGCGGCGAUCACAACCCGACCAACACUUGGCCCCAAACCGUGAUCCUUACGGCGAUUACAACUCAACCACUAAAUGGCACGUGAUCCUUACGGCGAUCACAACCAACUUAUCUCAUCGUUAUUAAGCACAUUAUUCUUGUUACUAUUGACUCAUGGUGUGACCUACUUUCGACCUGGGACCUUAUCCGCGGGCGCGGCUAUCGAUAGAUUUAAUAUACACUCUCCAGAGGUUAGUACACUGUACCCACACUACGGAAUCCAUGGCCUCGCACUCCCAUUCGGGUGGACCAACGGCGUUCCGACACAACCAUCCUACUGCCAUGACACUCUCUCGGCUACUCCAACUCAGUCCCCAUCGGGCUAGUCCUAGGUGGCCCCGUGUCUACCUCUAGACACAACGACCACUAGUAGAAAAGGGGGCAAUGGUCUAGGCCAGGUCAGCCCAUUAGUCCCGGUUCAACCCAGAACCGGGACCAAUGGGGGCAUUGGACCCGGUUCGUGAGCCCCGGGGGCCGGCCGGGCCACAUGGGCCAUUGGUCCCGGUUCGUCUGGACCUUUAGGUCCCGGUUGGUUGGACGAACCGGGACCAAUGCGCCUCGCUCCUGGCCCACCACCAUUGGUCCCGGUUGGUGGGACGAACCGGGACCAAUGGCUGUCCUUUAGUCCAGGUUCAAGCCACCAACCGGGACUAAAGGGUUGGCCCUCGUUGCGGUCAAAGUUUAGUCCCACCUCGCCAAUCGAAGGGGAAUCAGACCGGUUUAUAAGCCCCUCCCUCUCUCCCUUUGUUGAGCUCCUCUCAAAAUGAAAAUAGAUGCCCUUAUACAGGAAAUUUAAUCUAAAUUCAUAUGAAUUUCUCUGAAAUUAGUAGAAAUUCAUUAUGAAUUUAGGUUGAAUUUUCUCUAUAAGCGCAUCUAUGCUCAUUUCUCAGCAGUUUUUUAUAUAGUUUUUUUUCUUUUCNNNNNNNNNNNNNNNNNNNNNNNNNNNNNNNNNNNNNNNNNNNNNNNNNNNNNNNNNNNNNNNNNNNNNNNNNNNNNNNNNNNNNNNNNNNNNNNNNNNNNNNNNNNNNNNNNNNNNNNNNNNNNNNNNNNNNNNNNNNNNNNNNNNNNNNNNNNNNNNNNNNNNNNNNNNNNNNNNNNNNNNNNNNNNNNNNNNNNNNNNNNNNNNNNNNNNNNNNNNNNNNNNNNNNNNNNNNNNNNNNNNNNNNNNNNNNNNNNNNNNNNNNNNNNNNNNNNNNNNNNNNNNNNNNNNNNNNNNNNNNNNNNNNNNNNNNNNNNNNNNNNNNNNNNNNNNNNNNNNNNNNNNNNNNNNNNNNNNNNNNNNNNNNNNNNNNNNNNNNNNNNNNNNNNNNNNNNNNNNNNNNNNNNNNNNNNNNNNNNNNNNNNNNNNNNNNNNNNNNNNNNNNNNNNNNNNNNNNNNNNNNNNNNNNNNNNNNNNNNNNNNNNNNNNNNNNNNNNNNNNNNNNNNNNNNNNNNNNNNNNNNNNNNNNNNNNNNNNNNNNNNNNNNNNNNNNNNNNNNNNNNNNNNNNNNNNNNNNNNNNNNNNNNNNNNNNNNNNNNNNNNNNNNNNNNNNNCUCAUUUUUUAAGUAAAGUUAAUCACAACUAUUUUUGCUUCUAUUUAUUUCUGAGCAGUUUUUUAUAUAGUUUUUUUCUCUUUUCUGCUAUAUUUAUUUUUUUCUUUUUAUUUCUGAGUUGUAAUAAGUCAUUAAAAAUAAGCAUCUAUGCUCAUUUUUUAGUUAAGUUAAUCACACCUAUUUUUUUCUAUUUAUUUCUGAAUUGUAAUAAGUCAUUAAAAAUAAGCAUCUAUGCUCAUUUUUUAGUUAACUUAAUCACAACUAUUAAAAAUAACUCAUUAAAAAUAAAAAAGAGGCGCACUGCUCGUUAAUUUUCUUCAAGCCUUUCGGAAUAGUGUCAACUGCAUUGCACCUAGCUCUGUGCAGUCUACCCCUAUUCCUCAAGGCUUGAAGCUAACCAACGUGCAGGUGAGCAUUGAGCCUCUUCUUCAUCGUCUCUGCACUGAGGGCUUAUAAAUAGCUGCGAGUGCCUCUCGCUGGGCGAGGUGGGACUAAAAAAACAGCUGCAGAAAGAAUCCACUAAAAAACAGUUGCAGAAAAUAAAAAAUUAGACGGGUCCAUUGGUACCGGUUGGUGGAGCCAACCCGUACGAAUACCCCUCUUUGGUACCGGUUGGUGCCACCAACCGGUACCAAUGCCCUCCUUUUGUCCCGGUUGGUGCCACCAACCGAGACCAAAGGUCCUCGUUUCCCGCCCUUUGCGGUGCCAAAAAGAGGCCUUUGGUCCCGGUUGGUGGCUCCAACCGGGACAAAAGGCGUGCAUUGGUACCGGUUUGCCGUACGAACCGGGACCAAAGCCUUUGCUAUAUAAGUAGCACUGCCACCCCGCCCCGAGUUCGAUCUCGUCCGACGCCNNNNNNNNNNNNNNNNNNNNNNNNNNNNNNNNNNNNNNNNNNNNNNNNNNNNNNNNNNNNNNNNNNNNNNNNNNNNNNNNNNNNNNNNNNNNNNNNNNNNNNNNNNNNNNNNNNNNNNNNNNNNNNNNNNNNNNNNNNNNNNNNNNNNNNNNNNNNNNNNNNNNNNNNNNNNNNNNNNNNNNNNNNNNNNNNNNNNNNNNNNNNNNNNNNNNNNNNNNNNNNNNNNNNNNNNNNNNNNNNNNNNNNNNNNNNNNNNNNNNNNNNNNNNNNNNNNNNNNNNNNNNNNNNNNNNNNNNNNNNNNNNNNNNNNNNNNNNNNNNNNNNNNNNNNNNNNNNNNNNNNNNNNNNNNNNNNNNNNNNNNNNNNNNNNNNNNNNNNNNNNNNNNNNNNNNNNNNNNNNNNNNNNNNNNNNNNNNNNNNNNNNNNNNNNNNNNNNNNNNNNNNNNNNNNNNNNNNNNNNNNNNNNNNNNNNNNNNNNNNNNNNNNNNNNNNNNNNNNNNNNNNNNNNNNNNNNNNNNNNNNNNNNNNNNNNNNNNNNNNNNNNNNNNNNNNNNNNNNNNNNNNNNNNNNNNNNNNNNNNNNNNNNNNNNNNNNNNNNNNNNNNNNNNNNNNNNNNNNNNNNNNNNNNNNNNNNNNNNNNNNNNNNNNNNNNNNNNNNNNNNNNNNNNNNNNNNNNNNNNNNNNNNNNNNNNNNNNNNNNNNNNNNNNNNNNNNNNNNNNNNNNNNNNNNNNNNNNNNNNNNNNNNNNNNNNNNNNNNNNNNNNNNNNNNNNNNNNNNNNNNNNNNNNNNNNNNNNNNNNNNNNNNNNNNNNNNNNNNNNNNNNNNNNNNNNNNNNNNNNNNNNNNNNNNNNNNNNNNNNNNNNNNNNNNNNNNNNNNNNNNNNNNNNNNNNNNNNNNNNNNNNNNNNNNNNNNNNNNNNNNNNNNNNNNNNNNNNNNNNNNNNNNNNNNNNNNNNNNNNNNNNNNNNNNNNNNNNNNNNNNNNNNNNNNNNNNNNNNNNNNNNNNNNNNNNNNNNNNNNNNNNNNNNNNNNNNNNNNNNNNNNNNNNNNNCAUAGAUUUUUUUUGUUGGAUGUGUAGUAAUUUAGAUGUGUAGCUCAUAGAUUUUCUGUUCAUAGAAUCUUUAUGAUUUUUUUCUCUUGUAAUUUUGUUUAUAGAAUUUUAAUGAUUUUUUGUUCAUAGUACGUAUUUAGAAAAAUGAAAAAAAAUAAGAAGAGAAAGUGUUUAAUAUAAUUAGUUAGAAAAAUACUAGUUUAUUUUUAGUAAUUCUACUUUAUUUUAUUUAUAGUAAGUGCUUCAUAUAUAGUUGAACUAGCUAGUUGAUUUAAUAAACUAUAGAAGUAGUUUGUUUUUAGUAAGUACUACUUUAUUUAUUUAUAGUAAGUGUUUAGUAGUUGAACUAGCUAGUUGAUUUAAUUAAUAAAACUACUUUAUUUAACUAUAUAUAGAAGUAGUUCCCGCAUCGACGUCGGCGAUGCCUAUCCCGCAUCCUUGUCGUCAUCGACUCACCGGUGGAGGCUUGCUAGAUCAGGGCCAUGUUCGGGACUGGGCUCCGCCGGGCUGGUAUUGGGAGGUGCUACCUUCCGGGGGAUGUAGGUUGGUGAGGAGGCAGCCCAUUGUUGACCUGAUCCUUGUUUGGUGGCGGUCGCAUGGUCCAGUGACGGUGCCAAGGCUUUCGGACACCAUGGAGGUGGUACGUCACCGUGUCAGCGAAGAGGACGAGCACGUCCGUCGCUACAUGGUUGCAUCAGAGGGCAGGUUCCACAAUACCUAGCAAGUUCUCCAGGGAUCUCACUGGAUUUAUGAUCCUGUGAUGGUUCCUUAUCUUUGGGUGUCCACCGCCCGCGUCGAUACCCGUCGAGCGCUACGGUUCUAGUUGUAUUAGUGAUGCUAUAUUAGUGAUAAUAUUCGACGAUGUACGGACACCAAGAGAUGAUGUACUUUUUCUUAUAAUUAUUGAAUGCAUGCUAAUUUUAAUACUACUUUAUUUUAUGAUUUGGUUUUGCUUAUUUUAUGAUUUGGUUUUGCUUACUGAAUGCUCAUAUUGGAUAAGUUCUCCUUCAUUCCCGUGUGCUAGACAAUUUGAUGUAAUAAUGCACUCAGGAAUGAAAGGAGGAGCUACGUACAUCACCGAUAGUCAACCCGUGAUUAAUAAUCUAGUUUAAUACUUGAAUUAUGAACAUAUGCCGGAAAUGUCGUACUCGGACGACGAAAACCGCCCGGGGGAGUGCGACUGGUGCCAUGACGACCAGGUAUCUACGACAGGUUCAUUGAGCUGGACGAAGAUCGUCGCUUCAGCAUUAAGCUCGAGGAGACCUUCGAUGUUCAUACGGUACACAACCGAUGAUUAGGUAUCUGCAACAUUUUUUCGUAAUUACUCAUGACUUCAACUAUUUUAAUCAUGACAAUAUUUUUCAUCUUUUCCAAUUCGACUAGCUUAUCCCAUGCUUUGCAAGACGCUAUGUCUUGGAGAGGAUGGGUUUUGAAGACCAUGAAAGUUUCGAAACCAAAAAAAUUAUCCUAAGUACCCAUCAUGGUGUGGACUUUCAAGUAAAGUUGUACAAUGCUCAGAGUGUAACCCAUUUUGGUUGCAAAAAUUGGGAAGCACUUUGCAAGAUGUAUGGUUUUGAUGAGGGUAUGCUUGUUACCAUGGAUCUUGGUGAUCCUACAAUCGAGCAAGAGAGACCUACGAUUUUCGUCCUUGUGGAUACACCUCCAAUUCUUCCCCCAUGUGAGCUUAACAUAGUUAUUAAGUAAUUUAUAUUGUUUAUUUCAAAAUAGUUGACAACUUAUUCUCCAUUGACAGCUUAUUUUCAUUCUUCAAAGAAUGUGCGGAAGAUGGUAGACAGAACCUACUACACCGAAGGCUCCGAACUAACUUAUCAGGAGAAAAAUCAUCUGGUCGCAUUUUGUACUGAUCUUGAGAAUUACAAUGUCUACAAUCGAACUCCUCAACAUUAUGGUCAAUACGUGCCACUAGUGCAUGUGUUGAACUACGGUAACUACCAUGGAGAUACCCUGGUAAGAUUUUUUACUAUUACGACAUCCAUGCAUCUUUUUGCACACUUCUAAAACUAGUACAUCAUAUCAUUUCUAACUACAAAGUUAUUACUAUGUUUUUCAACAGAUAAUCCCGAAUGAUUGUGUGCCUCAUCUGAUGUAUACACACGGUAGCCUUCAUGUUUUGAACAUACAACCAGGUCUUCCUACGAAUCUGAACUGUCCAUACCGGGUUUCUAAAAGAAGUGGAGACAUGACAAUCAAAGAAUGGAAAAAUGUAUGGACAGUAGUAACGAGCUUCUUGGAAGCAACAUUCAGCGAAGGGCAAAAAUUGGAGACAGGAUGAUCGCCAUUCUUCAUAAUGGAGAGUCAGGGUCUAUAUUGUUUUAUGCUAUUUUACCUUAAGGGUGUUUAGGUCCUACCUGAUACUGUUGAUCAUGUGUUAAGAACAAUUAUGUAGGGUUGGGUUCGAUGACUAUGAGGAUGAUGAUCGUAUGACUUAUUAUUAAUAACGAGUAGAAGUUGUAUGAUGAUGCAUGAUUAGUAGGACGAGUACUUGUUAUUAUAUAUGCUGAUGUAUGCGAGCAUGCAUGAGUUAUUAUAUCAGCGGGUAAAAUGAGAUAUAAGAGAGGACACUUCUCUCUAUUAGAUAGCUAAUAUAACAACCUAAAAAUAACCCCCAAAACCCCUAAAGCAGCCACUUUCCAAAAAAACAUGGACUUUUGGUCCCGGUUGGUGCCACCAACCGGGACCAACGGCCCCCUGACUGGGCUCGGCGCACAGAGCCACGUGGAGGCACAUUAGUCCCGGUUCUUGUUUGAACCUGGACUAAUGGGUGGAGGUAUUAGUAACGGCCCAUUAGUCCCGGUUCAUGAACCGGGACUAAAGGCCCUCACGAACCAGGACUAUUAGGUGUUUACUAGUGGUCGUGGCCCGUCCCACUCUGGGACCCGGAUCCAAAAACUAACUCAACAACGGGCACACAAGGCUUAUGUCCGCCUACCUGAUCAGGGUAGCAUGCGCCCAUAACCUUCCCUCGUUGGAGGCACCGGUGAGAGGCACAACAAUAGACCCAGUUAGGACCGUCCCAUACCGGUAAGCGUGGUUGCACUGGUCAGCAUCGAUUUAGCGGCACCAUGACUCAGCCAACAAUUGUCAAGUUCAAUUUAAUCCGGUUAACUUGAAUGCAAAUAUGCCGAGUCAUGAUAAAAUACAUGAACAUGAUAUCAACAUAAUCAUGAGAGUAUCACAUAACUAUCCACCAUAUCAACAAUAAUUCAUAUCCACUGAGCAUGGCAUACUGACUAGCAUGACCAUCACCAACAUCAACAUGUACCACCAGCAAUCAUAAACCAAUGAAACGAGAUACUAGCAGGUAGAACAUAAUAACAGAGUACAAGACAACAUAGCACAAAAUAGAACAUGCAGUUCUAAACAUUAUCGGAACAACGAUAACCAUCUUUUCAACAAACAAACAUUUAAUAAAGGUUCAAGAUGAAAAUCAUGGCUACUACAUGACUAUCAUUCAAGUGGGUAUUGUGGCUUGCCUGGGGAUGAAGAAGGCACCGGGGAGAAGUGCGAUGAAGCCGCGGAAAGAUUUGCCGGAAACAGUUCUCUCUCGGAGGGGCUGAAUAGGGGCAAGGGCAAAAAGGUCAUUUUCAUAGUGUCAAACCAUAGUCAAAGCAUGUUCAACAGAACCGCCUCGACGAAACGAAGAAGUAGGCUUUGGAAUCACCUCAUUUGGAGCUACGGUUGCGGAGAUAUAAUGGUUUUACUACCAGGGACCCAUCUGUAAUGAAAAUAUUUUGAACCAGGGGCCUGGACAGAAAAACGGAAAGCGCAUUUGACGAAAUUCGGUUUCGGUGGAUAAAAAUGUAUACACCUGAAUGCGUCUCCACUUAUCCACGUCAGCUUGGACUGGUCAACACGGGGCUGGCGGCUGGGUGGCUGACUGGUGGGGUCCACGCCCAGGGGAUGGGGCCCUCCUGGCAGCUGGAGGGGGCACGGGCGCUCGUCCCCUUCCUCCCGCUCGCCUAUGCCUCGCGUGAAGCAGAGCAGCGGUAGGGGAGGGAAGAGACCAAGGGGCCGGCCGGCUUCGGCCAUCUCCGGCCAGGGCGCGGCCACCGGAGGGACCAGCGGAGCCUAGCGCCUCCGUCCCUAGGCAGUAGGGGCACCGGGGCGGCGUGGGGAGAUGGCGAGGCGCAGCGACAGAGGAGCAACAGAGGAGGACACUAGGGAAGGGAGCGGGCGGCUCCGACCGUCUCCGGCGGACGGAGACCACCGGCAGGUGCGGGGUGAUGAGGUGCACCCGUUCAAAGGCAGAACGAGCGCCGGGGAAUUGGUGGAGAAUAGGGGAAGCCGCGGCGACAAAAAUCUAUAGAGGCGGCGGUCGAGGUGGUGCUCCGGCGAAACGGGCGACUCCGGCGAGGGGCAAACGGGGCGGUGGAGGGAUGUAUGAGCUACGGGAGGACUCGGUCUUGCUUUAUAUAGUUGUGGAGGAGGGCUCUAGAGCUCACGGAUGAGCUCCCGGCCAAGCUUUAAUGGAGGACAGAGGCUGGGCAUGGCACGGGCAUGGGCCUAGCAAUGCAUUCAUGGCGAACCAUGACGAGCCAUCGAUGCACGGCGAUGCAGGGCAUCACGGGGGAGCUCCAGGACAUGAAUGGAGGUCGAGACGAGGAAGGAGCCGAUGAGAACAGGGACAAGAAGAAGCCAGAGCGUGCAAUGUGCAUGACAUCAGCGUGAUCACCACGCGCACUCGAGCAAACUCCGGGUUUUGUCCAGGCCGACCAUGUCUACUGGAUUGACCCUAGUGCCCUUAGUCUAAAUGAAGAAAUAAUUGGGUCCAGGGGCAAAGAAGAGAUUUGCACUUAGCUUCAAAGUAAACCAGCAGCCAAGUGUUUGUGAUGUGCAGUGGGGACACCAUCCAGGUAACUCAGUAAAUAGCUUGUCUGGGAGGUUUAUCUAUCGAAGGACUUUCAUCCUGGAGGUUUUGAGGGUAAAUGGAUCAAGAUUUACUGCAGUUGCUUCACAACCACAUAAUGUGGUCAGAGACGAAAAUCAUGAUGAUGCACUCACAUGGUUGAUUGGAUUGAGCUGAGUUUGAUCAAGGCGGGGUUAUUUGAUCAUACGAAGAUGAUGAGAAAGGUUUCAUACCAUUUGGAUAAACUAAAAUGGUACUUCCUUCACAAGCAUCUCCUCUGGAAAGAAACUUGCAAAAAUUCUAGAGGGAUAAUGGCUUAAUGAAAUAUGCCCAAAAUGUGUAGAUAUAUGUUUUUGGGUAUAAGAAUGAUCUGGUAAUUUAUCAGGAUUUUGAAGCAAUAUAAAGUACACUUGCUUCACAACCUGAAAAUAUUGCCAGAAACAAAGAUUUUCUCCUGUGCUCACAUAGAUGAUUAGAUGGGGCUGAAAAUGGGUGGCGGUGGUUAAUAUGAGCACAUUAAGGAGUGUGCAAAAUUUCAACUCAUUUGGCUACUCCUAGCUAGUACUUCCUUCACAAUGGCUUAUGUUUGACAGAAACUUUGAAAAAUUGUUGAGGAAGAUUGGCUAGGCAAAUAAAUUUGAACUUGUGCAUGAGGCAAUUAUUUGGACAUAUAAACAUGCCCAGAAAGGUUGGGAGCCGUUAGGAAAAAUAUAAAUGACACUUCCUUCACACGGUGCCAUUUAGGGCAGAAUAGAAAAAGGAAUAUUGGGGAAAUAUUUUUGAACAUGGCAAUGAAAAGUUUUGCCAUAUUUGAUCAAGAUAUAACCCAAACAAUUAAUGAGAAUUAUUUGGGAAUUUUUGGAGUGAUGGAAAUAUAGGUUGCUUCACAAUCUAGGGCAAUCGGAGUUAUUCCUUUAAUAGAAAAUGAAUAUUCCCAAUAAAAAGAAUACUGGGAUUUGGGCUAGGAUGAAAAUGACAGGGUCUAGGGAAAGAUUUGGGAAUGACAAGCCACUCUGGAAGCAAAGAAGAGGGCAUCUUCUUCAGUUUCCAGACCACAAAGCCACGGAAAAAGAAAACUCAGGCAAAAACCUCAGAAAAACAAAAGAAAAAGAAAGGGCCAAAAAUCAGGCUGUCACAAAUAUAUUGGACGGCUAUGUUCAGACACCGGAAGUGUUCCGGAGAAGCACUACAAGAAAUAUGUCAACUUGUGACCACCACUAUUUGUCACUGAAAGGUCAAGGUUUUUCAUUUGCAACCUUUUUGUGACCAAUAACAGAAGGUCAAAAGCUGGCGGUCAUAAACUGACUAUAGCGACCUUUCUUCUGGAAUGGUCGUAGACGUUUAUGACCAAAAUAUGUCCACUGUGGCGUUUUGGUCACUAGCAACCUCCCCAGGCCAUGUAGCAUCCAGCGUGGCAAGCUGAUGUGGCACAAGAUUCAGCCCGGUCCAAUUCAGUUUUCUACAUGAGCCUAGCCCAACAAUUCGGCCUCUUUUACUUAUUUUUUACUAUUAAUUUUUUCCAGCUACAUGGGCUUGGCCCAUUAAUUCGGCCUUUUUGCUUUCUAAGAUCUAGCCUUUUCAGAUUCUAUAUAAUUUCUAUUUUCGGAUUUUCUUUGUUUUUUUGUUACAUUCUAUUUUUAGAUUAUUGUAGUCAACUGGGUGCACAUUGCUUGUAGUCAACACACCGAUAUACCAAUCAUCAAUUUUUAAUUUUUCACAGCUUGUAGUCAACACACCGAUUCAAAAACAGCCAAACUCAGUUUAUUACAAUAUUCCACACAAUCACAAUAGACACCAUACAUUAUUUCAGCAAUCACAAUAUAGCACUCUAUAUCAGGGGCCAGCCAAGCCUACUACCAUGCAUGAGGCCACAACCAGCCCAAUAGCAUCAGCACCGUUGGAGCCCUGACCAACGUCCAAGCUUUAUCAAGCUCCCUGCAAAUUGCAUUUAGUGGCAAAGCAUCAAUAGAUGAAGUUGCAAAAUGAAUAUCUUAGGGGAAGCUACACUUGGCAUAUACAC
rnacentral:lncRNA from 1 species